GCACAUUACUUUGUGUUUACCUUCGACCGGAUCAUAUCCUAAAAAAACUCUUACAUAACACCAGCUCUUUUCGGGUUUCGGCAAGGUUAAUAACUCUUUCUUGCUAGGGUUCCAAACUACAGGGGCUCCUGAUACUUGAAAACAGAUCAAGCCAUGGACAGAUUCCGUAGGGGGCAAGUAACAUUGUCCUUGCGGGAAUUUCAUAUGGUAACGAUAAAUAGGCUGAGAACAAGAGUAAGAAGAGUUCUGAUUAUCUUGAGGGAUUGAGGAAACAAAAAGCUUCCCAUCUGCUAUAACGCAGACAAGAAGACUCGGCUGCAGUGUUGAGAAGAACCGAGUCUCGAAAGAGCGGAUGAAAUAUGAGUCGGUGGUGAUUGAUGACCAUAGCUUCGAUACGCAACGGAAUCUCAAAACAUGAUCUCGAAGGCAGCCUUAAGAGUAUUUCUGAGUUUAGAUCUUUAGGAAAGGACGACGGAAGUUUCAAUUGCUUUCUUCUUUUUCGGUUGCCUUUUCUCUUCUUCUUUUUUGGUUUCUCCAUCUUUUUUUUUUUUUGUCAAAACCCUAAAUUUGUUAGGCUGUGUAGCGCAGACCAUUCAAAGUCACUAUAUAUUCUGCUAAUUGUUUGUGGUAGCACUUAUCUAAUAUAUUAAAAGAGUAGUCAUCAGUCUCAAGUUCGCUCUCAAAAACGGAUUACCUUUUUACCCUUAAUGAAAAAUAUAUUUCGUCUCCAAAAAGCCGACUUUUAUGUUUAAGAUCGAAAACUUUUAAGAUCGAAAACUUUUUAAGCCGGCUUUGUUGGUUUAAACCGAUCUUUUUAAAAUUUUUAAGUUUUCGAUUUUAAACCAAACGUAAAAAAGUCCGUGGAAAAUAAAACUCCUUACUUGAAACCCUACCGUUUGUGUUUAGCCUCUAUAACUCCAUAGAGAGAAAAACGAUUAGCUUAGCUCUAUCAGGAUAAAAAAUUUAUAUUUGAAUACUAAUCUUGUUUAUAAUUUAGCUUCAUGUUUAUAAUUUUUAUUUCUUGUUCGUGUAGUGCUUAUAGAAAGCAAGAUAAACAAUUCCUACAGUUUUUUCUAACCUUACUUCACCUUUUAAAUCAGUUAUAUUCUCUAAAUUUAUCUGUUUUAUUUUUCAAUUUUGGUAAAUUUGGAAUAACUUUUUUCUAAUUAUUACGUUUGCUAAUUAUUAAAGAUGCUCUUAAAAAAAGAAUUUCCGUUGGGCUUGGAAAACAUGGAAAUAAUAGAAAAUAUCCUUUAAACUUAAAAAAUCUUGCGGCGCUAUGUAGCUUGGAAAACAUCAACAACUCCCAUUCUAUACAAAUCAGUAUGGAUCACAAAGGGAGUUGGAUGCUAGGUCUGGUACGUUUUCAACAUCUUUAAACUUAACACUUAGAUUCUUUAAAAAUAAAAACAUUUUGUAUGUUGUUGUUCAAAAUCAAAACUUUACUUAAAUUAUAAAAAAACCUUAAAACCUAAGCGUUAAUUUUUUAUAAUACGUGAUAGCAUGUUGAACUUACACACCACUGACGGACCACAAAGGGACUGGAUGCUCGGCCCAGUUUGUUUUCAACGUAUUAAAAUUUAACACUUAGAUUCAACCCAAAAAAAAAAUUAUUAAAAAUUAAAAGUAGUUUUGGUUAAAAUUUGAUUAAAAAACCUUGAUAUGUAGUUGUAAAUCAGGAAAAUAGAAAUGAAAAACAUAAAAUCUUUUCUUCUUUAUGUAUAUUUUUAAAUCAAAAUCAAUUGCUCUUAAUUUUUUUUUUUUUUUUUUUUAAGUUAGAAAAGUUGAAAUAUACCUGUGAUAUUUAAGUAUCCUGAGAGCUGAGGCGAGGCGACUCCAUCCGUGGUCGUUUCUGAAGUUUGCUACACGUAAUACAAAAACAAACCCAUCAGCUCAUUUCAUAAUCGUCAAAAAUUCAAAUUACUUUGAUAAAACUAAAGAGAACUAUCAUACGAACCUGCUAAUAUAAUACCUCUGUUGCUCUCUUCAAUAUUCUUCUAAAUAUUCCUCUUAUAAAUAUUCUUCUANNNNNNNNNNNNNNNNNNNNNNNNNNNNNNNNNNNNNNNNNNNNNNNNNNNNNNNNNNNNNNNNNNNNNNNNNNNNNNNNNNNNNNNNNNNNNNNNNNNNNNNNNNNNNNNNNNNNNNNNNNNNNNNNNNNNNNNNNNNNNNNNNNNNNNNNNNNNNNNNNNNNNNNNNNNNNNNNNNNNNNNNNNNNNNNNNNNNNNNNNNNNNNNNNNNNNNNNNNNNNNNNNNNNNNNNNNNNNNNNNNNNNNNNNNNNNNNNNNNNNNNNNNNNNNNNNNNNNNNNNNNNNNNNNNNNNNNNNNNNNNNNNNNNNNNNNNNNNNNNNNNNNNNNNNNNNNNNNNNNNNNNNNNNNNNNNNNNNNNNNNNNNNNNNNNNNNNNNNNNNNNNNNNNNNNNNNNNNNNNNNNNNNNNNNNNNNNNNNNNNNNNNNNNNNNNNNNNNNNNNNNNNNNNNNNNNNNNNNNNNNNNNNNNNNNNNNNNNNNNNNNNNNNNNNNNNNNNNNNNNNNNNNNNNNNNNNNNNNNNNNNNNNNNNNNNNNNNNNNNNNNNNNNNNNNNNNNNNNNNNNNNNNNNNNNNNNNNNNNNNNNNNNNNNNNNNNNNNNNNNNNNNNNNNNNNNNNNNNNNNNNNNNNNNNNNNNNNNNNNNNNNNNNNNNNNNNNNNNNNNNNNNNNNNNNNNNNNNNNNNNNNNNNNNNNNNNNNNNNNNNNNNNNNNNNNNNNNNNNNNNNNNNNNNNNNNNNNNNNNNNNNNNNNNNNNNNNNNNNNNNNNNNNNNNNNNNNNNNNNNNNNNNNNNNNNNNNNNNNNNNNNNNNNNNNNNNNNNNNNNNNNNNNNNNNNNNNNNNNNNNNNNNNNNNNNNNNNNNNNNNNNNNNNNNNNNNNNNNNNNNNNNNNNNNNNNNNNNNNNNNNNNNNNNNNNNNNNNNNNNNNNNNNNNNNNNNNNNNNNNNNNNNNNNNNNNNNNNNNNNNNNNNNNNNNNNNNNNNNNNNNNNNNNNNNNNNNNNNNNNNNNNNNNNNNNNNNNNNNNNNNNNNNNNNNNNNNNNNNNNNNNNNNNNNNNNNNNNNNNNNNNNNNNNNNNNNNNNNNNNNNNNNNNNNNNNNNNNNNNNNNNNNNNNNNNNNNNNNNNNNNNNNNNNNNNNNNNNNNNNNNNNNNNNNNNNNNNNNNNNNNNNNNNNNNNNNNNNNNNNNNNNNNNNNNNNNNNNNNNNNNNNNNNNNNNNNNNNNNNNNNNNNNNNNNNNNNNNNNNNNNNNNNNNNNNNNNNNNNNNNNNNNNNNNNNNNNNNNNNNNNNNNNNNNNNNNNNNNNNNNNNNNNNNNNNNNNNNNNNNNNNNNNNNNNNNNNNNNNNNNNNNNNNNNNNNNNNNNNNNNNNNNNNNNNNNNNNNNNNNNNNNNNNNNNNNNNNNNNNNNNNNNNNNNNNNNNNNNNNNNNNNNNNNNNNNNNNNNNNNNNNNNNNNNNNNNNNNNNNNNNNNNNNNNNNNNNNNNNNNNNNNNNNNNNNNNNNNNNNNNNNNNNNNNNNNNNNNNNNNNNNNNNNNNNNNNNNNNNNNNNNNNNNNNNNNNNNNNNNNNNNNNNNNNNNNNNNNNNNNNNNNNNNNNNNNNNNNNNNNNNNNNNNNNNNNNNNNNNNNNNNNNNNNNNNNNNNNNNNNNNNNNNNNNNNNNNNNNNNNNNNNNNNNNNNNNNNNNNNNNNNNNNNNNNNNNNNNNNNNNNNNNNNNNNNNNNNNNNNNNNNNNNNNNNNNNNNNNNNNNNNNNNNNNNUAUGCUUUGUUGUUCGACAAGAGAGAACGAACUAAGGAUAUUGAUUUGUUGAAGAGAAAGAAGAAGAAGUGAGAGAAACAGAGAAUUUUGAUUUCUCGAUCAAAAGGAAAAAGAGACGAGAAGAGAGGGUUGAGAAGCUUUGAGUUGUUUAACAAAAAAGAAGAAGCUUUGAGUUGAGAAGAAGAGUUGUUUAAUUAAGAGAAAAGGAAAUUGAUAAAAUCACAACGGUUAUAUUAAUAUGAGUUUAAGCAAAUCUAUACCUAGAUUUUGUUUCUGUUAAAUUUUCUUCAUCACACACAACGGUAACAACUUAAUUUUGAUAUGUAAAAACAUUUUGAACCUUGUAAUUUUAAAAGAGAACUAGAUUUGGAUCCGCACAUACGUGCGGGAUAUAUUUGUGAAUAUAAUUAUUUGAUAUAAUCUUUAUAACUCAUAUUUACAACGAUUUGGUUUCAUCAAACUUCGGAACAUUUGUAAUAAUAAUGGUUUCAUCAUAAUAUUUGGAUUGAUACGAAGACAGAUCCAGAUAUUAAACUAAUGUAAUCACUUAUAUUUUUAGCAAGCUAUUAAACUAUUAAAUCAGAUAAAUGUCAAAAUAUCAAACUUGCCAAACCGAAUUACCUAAAUUGUCAAGGUGGACGUAUUUGAUGUUUUUACCAGUAAAAAGUCUACCCCAUGAAAGCCACAUGAGCAACAUUUACAUUCUUCUCGUUUGAAUUUGCAAAAAUUCGUAGUUAGCAUACAUUUUGCUAAAUUUUCUAAUUUAGACAUAAUACUCAUAUCUUACGUUUGGAUAUUCUCAAACUCUCUUAAACUUUAAAAUUAUCAUCUAAAGUAGAUAUUUACCCGUUCAAAAGUUAGCGCAUAUUCAAAUUAAGUUCUGAGAUUCGAAUAUAGAUAAAAAAAACUAUUUAGAUUGUUAUACAAAAUUUAUCUCUCAUACAUCUUAUCAUGAAUAGUUUGGAAAUAUUUUUCCGUUCCCAUUUCAUAUUCACUGUUUCCCGUUCAGAUAUUGGCAAGGUAAUGUUCGUAAUGUUUCACACUCUACGUACCUUCAGAGUUAUAUUUUUAGAUAUAAUUAUUUGAUAUAUCUGUUAUCUAUAUUAACAUUUUAAAGCAGUUUUUGCAAUAAAUCCUAAAUUUUCAAACUAUUUACAAAAAUGCCACUGCAUUACAGUAUCUUUAAAAAUAAAUGGAAAAUAAUAAAAAUGGAAAUACAUCAAUAUUUAGAAGAUUAAAAUUAUAGUUCUCCUAUCAUAUUUUUUGAUUUGAUUUUUUAAUUUUUUUUUGAAUCAUUAUAUAACACAUAAGAUUAAUAAAAUCUAAUUUUGUUUUUCUAUAUAUUUUGUGAUUCGAAUUUUAAAAAAACGGAUAUAUAUAUAUAUAUAUAUAUAUAUCACUCAAUUAAUAUAAAAAGUAUGUGUUCAACAUCUUAAAUCCGCUAAAAUAUUAGAGAAUGAUUCAAAAUCAUAUUAUACAUAUGAUCAUAAUAGAUUUAAAUCUGAAUGAGCAGAAAGUUUCACUUAAUAAGCAUCCAAACUUUAAAAUUUGUAUAUCAAUUCAUUCGAUUUAGGUGAAUUGGGUAAUGUUUAAAAUAUGUUUCUUUUGAAAAUAUAAUUUGUUUAAAAUAUGUUUCCUUUGAUUGAUUUCACUUAAUAAGCAUCCAAACUAUAAAAUAUGUUUACAAAUACACAAUUUCUAAUUUAAUAGGCCUCAUUUUAUGGUAACAAAUUUAUUAUGAUUUCCAUGAAUCUGUGUUAGUUAUUAGAUUUGAUUUUUUUAAAAUAUUUUAAAGCAUAUUUAUUUGAGAAAUUGAUACAAAUAACCUUUUUAUGAUACCCUCUUUUAAAAAUAUCCUCUUUUUUUACCAUUUUCAUUUUUGCCCUCUCUUAUAUUUUAAUGGCCAUUUUACCCCUAUUUGAAAGAAUAUUCUUUCCCAAAGGAAGGAAUAUUCCAUCCAAAAAUUUUCCCCCCAAAUAUUUCCCGCCAAAAACUUUCCCGCCAAAAUUUUCCCGCCAAAAAAGUUUCCGAGAAAAAUUUUCCCGCCAAAAAAAUUUCCGCAAAAAAUUUCCCGCAAAAAAAAAUAUUUUUUCAAAAUUUUCCCGCCAAAUUUUUUAAAGGGUUUACAAGAUUUUUUAAAGGGUCUUUUAAAGGGUUUACAAGGGUUUUUAAAGGGAUUCACAAGAGUUUUUAAAUGGUUUUUAAAAGAUUUGUAAUGGUUUUUAAAGGGUUUUAGAAGCCUACAAAGGUUUUCAAAUGGUUUUUAAAUGAUUUACAAUGGUUUAUAAAAGUUUUUAUUAGUUUAUAACAGUUUUAAAAGGAUUUACAAGGAUUUUAAAAGGUUUUUAAAAAUUUACAAGGAUUUUUAAAGGUUUUUUAAAAGGAUUUAAAAGUGUUUUUAAAAGAAUUUAAAAGUGUAUUUAAAGGCAUACAAAGAUUUAAAAAUAGCUUCAAAGGAUUUACAAGAAGUUUUAAAGGGUUUUAGAAGUUUACAAAGGUUUUUGAAGGGUUUACAAAAGUUUUUAAAGGUAUUACAAGUUCUUUAAAAUGGGUUUUAAGGAUUUACAAGGGUUUUUAACGGGUUUUAGAAGUUUACAAAAGUUUUUAUUAAAUGAUUUAUCACGGUUAUAAGUGGUUUAAAGGGAUUUACAAGUGUUUAUAAAUGUUAUAAAAUGAUUUACAAUGGUUUUAAAAGGUUUACUCAAGUUUUGAAAGGUUUUGGAUUACUUUUAAAAGAUUUACAACGGUUUUUAAAGGAUUUUUUAAGGGAUUUAUAAAUAUUUACAAGGUUUUUUUAAGAAAUUGCGGAAAAAUUUUGGCUGAAAAUUUUUGGCGGGAAAAUUUUUGUCGGAAUUUUUUUUGGCGGGAAUUUUUUUUUGGCGGGAAAAUUUUUUGUCGAAAUUUUUUGACGGGAAAUUUUUUUCCGAAAAUUUUUGGCGGGAAAAUUUGGCGGGAAAUUUUCCGGAAGGAAUAUUCUUUUUGUUGGAAUAAUAUUCAUUUUUUCAUCAUGGGUUAUAAUAAAAGAGGGUAUUUUGAAAAUGAGCACCUAGAGAGGGUACUUGUAGAAAAUGGUAUCAUAAUAAAGGUUAGUUGUAAAAAUCUCCCUUGAUUAAUUUCACUUAAUAAGCAUCCAAACUAUAAAAUAUGUUUACAAAUACACAAUUUCUAAUUAAACAUGCCUCAUUUUAUGGUAACAGAUUUAUUAUGAUUUCCAUGAAUCUGAGUUAGUUAUUAGUUUUGAUUUUUUUAUUUUAUUUUAAAGCAUGUUUAUUUUAAUUGAAAAUAUAUUUUGCUGUCUUCAAGAUAUUUGAAAAUUUUAAUUUAUAAUUUAAUAAUGCUUAAACUUAAAAGAAUUUAAUUGAGUAUAAAUAUUUAUAAUAUUUUCAACUUUACAUGUAGUUGAUAUUUUACAACUUUACAUAUAAUAUUUUAAAACCUUUUAACAGAGUAAAUAUUAAUAAUACCUAAACUUUUAUAGAAUUUAAAUAUUUAUAGUAUUAUUAUCUUUCCUUGGACCUAAUUUAUUUUAAACGUUUAUUUACCUAAUUUAAACUGUUUACAUAUAUACAAUUUAAAAUACUAUACAUAUCAGUUUAUUUUAAAAGUUUCGAAAUUUUUUAAAUUAAAAUGUUUUGAAUUGUAUUAGUUUAAAUUAGUUAAAAUAAACGUUUAAAAUAUGUUUUCUAUAAUACAGUUCUAGUAACAGUUACAUUCUCCAUCCGCUUCACAGUUGAGACAUAUAUCAAAGAUGGAAGAAAACCAUGAUAUGCUGGCUCUGUCUCUAAGUGUAACACCAGUCAAUAGAACCGUCUCACAGAAACCCCCGAUGAUGCCUCUAGGCUUGGUUUCUCCAUAUCAUCAACAAGCACUUAACAUCAACCAUAUGUUACAGAACCAGGUGACAAGAGAUUUGUGUACUCAGUUACGUAAUGUGGAGGAAAGAGCUGUCUAUUUCAUGAAAGUAAAGGACAAAACCAUCGAAGAUAUGAAGAAACAGUCUGGAGAAAUGGAACUUCGCCUGAGAAAAGCAUUGUCGGAAGCCGAGUUCUGGAAGAAGCAGUCGGCUGAGAAAACAGAACUGUGCAGAGAUCUUGCCGGGAAGCUAUUGCAAGUGAGAAAGAGAGAAAAGUCGAAGAAAGUUAUUCCGGAGCAGAACGAGGCGGAAGAGGCUGAGUCGUCCACUGGUGAUAAUGGAGAGGAUGAUUUAAACACAGCAAGUAUUCGUUUAUGCAAACGUCGCCGUCUUUGAAAUUGGCGCGGGGUUUUAAGGCACGAAUGUUUUUGUUUGUAUGGACAUGGACGUGUGGUCAAAUGUUCCCACUUCCUAUAGUUGUUAUAUAUAUUCGAUGUUGUAUGGGGAGGGAACCUUGAACAUGAUUGUAAUCAUUCUAAAUAUAAAACAUGUCUAAUUUCUGUUACAUAUUAUUUUGUAAAACGCAUAACUUUGAAUUAUAGUUAUAUGAUAUUGCCUUUGUGAAGAAAAAAAAAAAAAACGUUUAAAAUAUUAUAUAAUCUUAAAAUUUUCGAAUUUAAUAGGCCACAUUUUAUGGUAACAAAUUUAUUAUGAUUUCUAUGAAUAUUGGUUAGUUAUUAGUUAGACUUUUUAUUUAUUGUAAAGCAUAUUUUUUCAUUUGAAAAUCUGUCAUUAAUUUUGUUUGGAUAUAGGUUUAGGAUUACAUUUUAUUUCAUUUUACUAUUUAAUCUGUUUGGAUACACUUUUAAAAAAUGCUUCCCUUUAAAUAGUAUAGAUUUACUGAAAAAGAUAUGACCGUAAUUUGUAAACCGUCAGCUAUACUAUUAAUUCAUUGAAAAAUACUAUAACUACUAGAUUUUAACCCGCGUGACGACGUUUUAAAAUGUAUUCUUUUUAUUAAUUUUGUGAGUAUAUAAGAGUGUACUACUAUAUUUUGAUUGUUAAUUCUAUGAUUUAACCCGUAGAAUAUUAUAUGAUAAUUUAUUUUUUAUAUAAUAGUAAUUUUAUCAAAUUAAUUAAAUAAGUAUAAUAUUUAAAGUAAUCAAAUGAUAUUGACAUAAUAUUCGUUUACAUAGUAUAAUUUCAUAUUAAAAUAUUUUGUGAGUUAUACUAUAGUAGACAACCCGUAAAAAUAUCUAUAAUCAUAAUUAUGUAAAUUAUAACUCGUUCCAUCACAUGAUCCGUGCUUCACAAUUAUCAAUAUUACUUUAGUACAUCCAUAUUUUUGUAUCGUUUGAGUAAUACAUCCGUAUCUAAAAAUUCAAAUUGCAACAUAUGCAAAAAAUGUUUUUUUAUAUUUUUACUAUACAUAUGUUUAUGUAAUAAUAUAAACUUAAAAACAAAUAAGGUCAUAUAAAGAUAUUGGAGAAAUAUUUGAUUUAUUAGGGAGAGAUUUUAGGAAACUUUGUUAAAUGUAGUAAAAAUUGAUUUCUAAUUUUGCAAUUUUAUUAUGAUUUAAUUACAAAAUUUAUCUUAAAAUUUUACUAUUUAAUCAAAUGGGAAGGGUUUAAUUAUGAAAAUAUAACAAAAUAAAAGGGUAGAACACAAAAGGUACUUCAAAAAUGUUAAUAUAGAUUUUAUUGACCUAUUCUUGAGGAGUUAUUUUAUAAUUUUUCUAUGAAAAAAUGUAAAUUAUCAUAUAAAUUAAUAAUGAUAUUGGGAUCAAGAAAUUCUAUGAAUUUAUAGAGGUAUUAAUAAAAAUAAUUUCCUAAUUUGGUAAUUUUUUUUAAAAUAGAUACAUCAAAACUAAGAUUUAGUCAUUAUAAUCAAUAAUUUUUUAGAACCAAAUACACCAAAAACAAUAAAUCAUCAUGAAUGAAUAAAACACUAUGAUUUUUUUGAUACAUGAAAUCUAUUAGAAUUGGAUUCUAAGAAAAAUUAAUAUAAAUUUGAGAAAAUAUUUACAAAAGAUUUUCAAAAAUAUUAUUAUCUUAUUAUUUUAUCGGAAUGUGUUUAAAAUUACAAUGGUCCCAACUUGGGACCGAGAAAAUUUAUUAAAUUAUAAAAUUUAUUAAUUUAUCGAGUAUUAAUUUAUCGAGUAUUAAUUUAUAGAGGUUUUAAUGUAAUUAGUUUUUCCAUUAUGCUUAAAAUAAUGGAACGAAAAUAUUGUGGCUUUUUAGACUUAUUUUGCAUAUUUUAUACCAAAUUGAAGUAUCGAGACCGGCAGAGAAGUUGUACAAAGAGUGGUGAAUGGCACGGAGUUAUCAGCGUACCAGGUAUGCUGAUAUUUGUAAGUUUUUAUUUAAUCUAAAUAUUUAAUUCGAUUUAUAGAGAAUUUUUGAGAAAUACCCCUUUUCGUGUACCUCUUUUUAAAAAUACUCCCUUUAUCUAUCCAUUUUCAAAAAUACCCCUUUUUAAAUAUAAAAAAAUUAUAAAGUUUUAUAUAGUUUAUAAGGUACUUCUAUAUAAUAACUACUACUGGGAGAUUCGAUACAAAUGUUUUAAAAUGUUCUAAAUAGUUUUAAAUCGUUUUUAUAAGUUUUAUAAGGUUUUUAAAAGGUUUUUAAAAGGGUUUAUACGGUUUUAUAAGGUUUUUAUAAGGUUUUUAUAAUUUAUUUUUACGCUAUUUAUGAAAGGUAUAUAAAGUUUUAUAUACAUAUAAAGGUAAUUUGUGUAUAUAUUUAUAAGCUUACACACAUAUUUGGAUAAAUUUCAACAUUUUUAUUGAGUUUUUUGAUAAAGUUUGAAAAAGGGGUAUUUUUUAAAAGAGGUAUAUGAAAAGGGGUAUUUUUGAAAUUACCCCUUAUAUUAUUUGAUAUUUGAAAUUUUUAAUUUAUAUAAAUAUUCAAGUUUUUGUAAAGUAUAAUGAAAUUUUAAUUAUUAUAAAAUUUAUUUUACCAAAAUAUCGAGAAUUGAUGGACACGAAAAAAAAACAGGGUAUUCAACUAUUCAUAUAAAAAAAAUAUAGAAAAAAGGUUCUUCGGGUAAUUUAUUAUAUAAACAAGUUUUAUAUAAUAAGUUUCUUCAUUACGCUUAAAAUAAUGGAACGAAAAUAGUGUCGCUUUGUAGACUUAUUUUGCAUAUUUUAUACCAAAUAGAAGUAUCGAGAUAGGAAGAGAAUAUAAUGUAUACAAACAGUGGCGAAUGGCACAGACAGGGCCGUAGGUUGAUAUAAAUGAGCGUACGGGGUUUGCUGAUUUCUCGGUUUCGUGCGUAAGGGAAUGAAUCCAAAGUUGAGGAAAUGGUUGAUUCGAUAAGAAAGAAGAGAAUUGAUAUGCAUUUUAGAGACGUUAGAAAUAUGUUUGAUAUUAUUGGGGAUGACUAUUAAUAGAUUAUACAACUGGAUCUUGUAAUUAAUAAAGACUAAUAUAAGUUUCAAAAAGAGCUGAUGAUUUGUCAAAAUUUUAAGCUAUGAGCUCAUGUGUUACAUAUCUUUUUGCGGUAAAAAAUCAUAUUUUCACUAUCUUGCUGAACCUGACAAGUGACAAUGUUUUCUUUAUUUAAUAAGUGCUCAUGUCCUCCAAAAUCUUCCAAAUUUUUCAGGAAGAUUUUGUUGGUAUUCUUCAUUUGCUCCAAACUGAAUCUUAGUCGAACAGCUUUGAGCCUUCCUUUAUGGCUCUGGCUCGGGUUUUGUUGUAAGUAACUAUUUGUGUACAAGUUAACUAAUCUCAAGCGAGGGCCAAAAGAUUUGAGGUUCAAGUAUACUUGGACUAUUAUCCCGAUGAGUUCCAAUAUAUUAUGCCGACUUUCGAUCCUCCAAAAAAAAUCAUUAGCAUUGAAAGUAUUAGACCCUUCAUGGUUUUUUGUGUAUUUGGCUUGUAUUUUGAACAAUAUUUAUUCCCUCCCUAUCUUGGAGCUUUUGGCUAAAGAGUAUUCAUUCCAGCAAAUUUAUGUUUUUUAAUCUUCAAGUGAACUAGGUCUGCCAGUUCGGAUUCUUGGGUCGGUUAUCUUUGAACUCACAUACAUACAUUAUCUUUCUUUUGCAAGUUCUAUCUAUAUAGAAUUUGAUAUGAACUUUUGUAAUAUGUUAAGCAUCGGAGUGGAUGUGUGAAGAAAAGAUCUUUAAUAUUUUUUCGAAAGACUAUGCAGCUCAGCUUCAACUGGUUGAUACUAUGCUUGGUUUGGAAGAAGCGGAGAAGUUCUUCAAAACCAUCCCCGAAAACAUGAGGGAUUACUUUGUCUACAACAGUCUCUUGAAAUCUUACACUAAAUCUGUGAAAUCACAUGAUAAGGCUGAGGCCACAUUUGAGAAGACAAAAACAAAACAAAACAAAACAAAAAUCAUAAAGUUGAAUAAAUUAAAACUACAGGGGCUCCUGAUACUUGAAAACAGAUCAAGCCAUGGACAGAUUCCGUAGGGGGCAAGUAACAUUGUCCUUGCGGGAAUUUCAUAUGGUAACGAUAAAUAGGCUGACAACAAGAGUAAGAAGAGUUCUGAUUAUCUUGAGGGAUAGAGGAAACGAAGAGCUUGCCGUAUGCGAUAUAGCAUACGAGAAGACUCGGCCGCAGUGUUGAGAAGAAUCGAGUCUCGAAAGAGCUGAUGAAAUAUGACCAUAGCUUCGAUACGCAACGGAAUCUCAAAACAGAUCUCGAAGGCAGCCUUAAUAGUAUUUCUGAGGUUAGAUCUUUAGGAAAAGACGACGUUUUUCGGUUCCUCUUUCUCUUCUUCUCUUUUGGUUUCUCCAUUUUUUUUUUCGGUUGUCAAAACCCUAAAUUUGUUAGGCUGUGUAGCGUAGACUAUUCAAAGUCCCAAUAUAUAUUCUGCUAAUUGUUUCUGGUAGCACUUAUCUAAUAUAUUAAAAAAGUAGUAUGGAGGCUUACGUUCGCUCUCAGAAACGGAUUACAUUUUUAUCGUUAAUGAAAAAUAUCUCUCGUUUCCAAAAGCAGACUUUUAUGUUUAAGAUCGAAAACUUUUAAAUACAACUCCUUACUUGAAACCCUACCGUUUGUGUUUAGCCUCCAUAACUCCAUAGAGAGAAAAACGAUUAGCUUAGCUUCUAUCAUGAUUAAAAUUUUAUAUAUUUUAAUACUAAUGAUAUGAUCGUGGCUAGCACGGAGCAAGAGGCUACAGAGAAACCGGAGAUGGUGGGAAGGAUCACUCAUUCAAGAGCUAAGGAGAUGGCCAAGGAAGCACACGCAUUCAUAGCUGACGGGUCAUUCAACCUACCAAGGAUCCAAGUCUUCAACAUAUCUAACCUGAAGACUUCACCCGGUGAUGAGGACUAGGUAACUUAGGUGAGAAGUUUGUACUCUUUUUCCCAUAGCUGAGUUUUGUCCCAAUGGGUUUUCUCAGCAUGGUUUUUAAUGAGGCAAAUGGAUCACUACGUCGAGUUAUCUAGAAAUCAUUACCAAAGGGGAAUAAUGUACUUCUGUACUACUACAGGUCGUCAAGCUUCUGUACUAGUUCAGCCGACUUCUGUACUACUACAGGGCGUCGGGAAAUCUUGUUGUUUUUAUUAUUUCCUUAAAACAUGUUGUUGUUUUGGUUUUGAACUUCUUGUUGUUUGGAGUGUCGUGCCCUAGGGUAUUUAAAACCCAAAGCUACGCCUCUUUUCUCUUUAGCGAAGAAGUUGUAUGAACAAGUAUUGUCACACUUUUUCUCUCAAUUCGAAUUCUUGAAUGCGUUCUAGAUUUCCGGGUUUCUAUACACUUUAUGAUUCAGAAACUCUUCAUUGUUACAAUCCAUACAACCACCUAAACAUCUAUCUCCAUCAAACCAUUGUUUCAUCAUUCAAUCUUCUCAAAUCAUCACUCACGUUCAUCGCCCAUCAUCAUCAACAAACUCACGUCGCCUAUCACCUAUCUUCAGCCUUCAUCGGAGUUCUAUCCUAGGGAGAUCAUAUUAACUAAUCUUUGUGUUUCAUGUUAUUCAUCAUCAUAUAAUUUUUCUUUCGUGUUCUUGUAAUGCUUAUUUCGAAAGCAAGAUAAACAAUUCCUACAGCUUUGUCUAAGCUUACUUCACCUUUUGAAUCAGUUAUUCUCUAAGUUUAUUUGUUUUAUUUUCAUUGGAAUAAAUUUCUAAUUAUUACGUUUGAUAAGUAUUGAAGAUGAUAUUAAAAAGACGUUAAGUUGUACUUGGAAAAUAUGGAAAUAAUGGAAAUAUCAUGUAAACUUAAAAUAAAUAAUUAUAUAAGUAUGUAGUUUAGAAAACAUCAACAAAUCCCAUUGAAUAACACAAAUUAGUAUGGACCACAAAGAGAGUUCGAUGCGAGAUCCAGUUAGUUUUCAACAUAUUUAAAUUUAACACUUAGAUUUUUUAAAAUAAAAACAUUUUGUGUGUUGUUGUUAUAAAUCAAAACGUUACUUAAAAAUUAUAAUAACUUUACUUUAAUUUUAAAAAAACUUGAAACCUAAGCAUUAAAUUUUUUACAAUACGUGAUAACAUGUUGAACUUAUACACCACUGACGGACCACAAAGGGACUGGAUGCUCGGCCCAGUUUGUUUUCAAUGUAAUAAAAUUUAACACUUAGAUUUAACCCCACAAAAUGAUCAUUAUGAUUUAUUAAAAAUCAUAACUAUUUUUACUUGAAGUUUGCUUUUACAAACCUUAAUAUUUAGUUGUAAAUCAGGAAAAUACAAAUGAAAAACAUGAAUUUUUUUUUUAUGUAUAUUUUUAUAUCAAAAUCAAUUGUUUUUAAUUUUAAAUUUUUUUAAUAAAAGUUUGAAAAGUUGAAAUAUACCUGUAAUAUUUAAGUAUCCUGAGGGAUGAGGCGACUCAAUCCGUGGUCGUUUCAGAAUUUUGCUACACGUAAAUAGAAAACAAACCAAUCUGCGCAUUUCAUAAUCGUCAAAAAUUCAAUUAUUUUGAUAAAACUAAAGACAACUAUUACGAACCUGCUAAUACCUCUGUUCCUCUCUUCAAUAUACAUAAAUCCAUGGAUCGAUGGAGAUCAUCAUAAAGACAUUCAUCGAACCUUGAGUCACCAUUGAACCUUGACCCUCCACCCUGAAACUAAAGCUUAAUCAAGUACAAAUCUUCAUCAUCCAAGACUACAGAAUACACAAAAUCAUACACUCAGUUCAAAACAAAGAGAUGAAUCACAAAGGCUAACAUGUUUAAUGAACUAAAAAGUACACAAAAUGGCUUGCAUUUACACACCUAUGAGAUUCAGUUGUGUAUGUUGCAGACAGGUAAUAAUAAGUCUAUAUGUGGUCGAGAAGCAACAUGAGCUCAGUAGUAAUAAAAUAAAACAAUGCCAAUGGAAACUCGCAAAUCAAAUCAGUAUACCUCAGGUUAUGAAUGUAGUAAUGCUGAUGCUACAUGAUCAUCAAAUCUUCAUGAUAAUAGAGAACAACAUCAAUGACCAGUAAAGACAAUGUAUAUAUACUAAUAACCAAAAUCAAAAACAAGAGAACAACAACAACAGAAAAGUAGAAACGAAUAGCUCACCAAGAACAAGCAUACCUCCUCCUAUCAAAAGGCCUGAAAAACCAUAUAAGAAGGGAUAUAUAAAGGAGACAGAGAGAACCACGAAUACUCAUUACAAAACCAAAGAGAGGAAUACUAACCAAAUACGUAAAUCAUAAGUCCAACAUUGGCUUGCAUCAAUCGUAUACUCUUAUGAGAUUCAGUUCUGUAUGUAGCAGACAUAAAAGUUCUCAACUUGUAAGAGACAAGACAUAAAAAACCAGACCAUAUGCAGACAGAGGAACAAGAAGAGAUAGAGCGGUACCUUGAAGAGUUGAAGGGAAAAGAGGAAGCAAGAGCACCACCAUGAGGACGAACCAGAGGUUAGAUAACACGAACCAGAAGAAGAGGAACCAAAAGCAGAGGUUAGAUGCCAAAGACGAACCAAAAGCCUGUAUGUAGCAAACAUAAAAGUUCUCAACUUGUAAGAGACAAGACAUAAAAAACCAGACCAUAUGCAGACAGAGGAACAAGAAGAGAUAGAGCUGUACCUUGAAGAGUUGAAUGGAAAAGAGGAAGCAAGAGCACCACCAUGAGGACGAAGCAGAGGAAGUAGAACCAAAAGCCUCGAUCAUCACCACCAUGUCUCAAGCCACAGCAUUCUAUGAUCAUCAACCAGAAGAAGAGGAACCAAAAGCAGAGGUUAGAUCGCCACCACGUUUCAAGCCUCAGCACCCUAUGAUCGCCGUGUUGCAUAUCUCGAUCAUCAACGAGAGGAAAGCUAUAAAGUUUAAAGCUUUUUCACCGAAGAUGAAUCAGAGAAUCGAAGGAGAAGAGGGAACGAACUAAAGAGAUUGAUUUGUAGGGUUUAGAAAGAAGAAGAAGAAGAAAGAACGGAGAAGAAGAAGAGAUAGAGCGUUACCGUAAAGGGAAAAGAGGAAGCAAGAGCACCACCAUGAGGACGAAGCAGAGGUUAGAUCCCAAAGACGAACCAGAAGAAGAGGAACCAAAAGCCUCGAUCAUCGCCACCAUGUCUCAAGCCUCAGCAUUCUAUGAUCGCCAUGUUUGCAUAUCUCGAUCAUCAAACCAAAUCUCACAACAACAAGAGAAAAGCUAUAAAGGUAGAAGCUUUACACCAGCGUUGAAUCAGAGAAUCGAAGGCGAAGAUGGAUAUGCUUUCUUGUUCGACAAGAGAGAACGAAUCAACCUGUAGGGUUUCGUAGAAGAAGAAGAAGAAGAAGAAGAAAGACCGGAGAAGAAGAAGUGAGAAACAGAGAAUUUUGAUUUCUCUAUCAAAAGGAAGAGCGGAGAAGAAGCGUUUGAGUUGAGAGAAUUAAAGAGUAAAUUUUUAAUAUUUAUAAGCGAAAUUAAUUAAGAGGUUAAUGGAGGUGUUCAAUAGCUCUCAGAACGUAAUGAGACUAUGAGAACACUAAAGGGAAAAUGCUUGACUCGUAUUAUGGUAUUAGAGGUACUAGACAAGAAACAUAGAUGACACUUAUGUCCUGUGAGUUUUGUGUAUAGAUAGAUAUUGGUUAGUGUUGUUACAGUUAAGUGGUAGACAUUGAACCUUUGUGAAGUUUGCUGGUUGUGCAACAGUUUUUUUUAUCUAAGAAGAAUAUGAGGACUUAGGUAGAAAUAUGGAAAUGGGGUUAUUGAAUUCUUACUUGGAGGUUGGUGACUGUGAUGCAAAGUGCAAAGCACUGAGAGUUCAUUGGAAGAGUUUAAGAGAACCAGAGGAAAAUGCUCGAGUUAAUAGACUUAACAGAACCAUGGGGCAUGGACAUUAGAUAAAUGAUUGGUAAUCACUGGUUUAGCUAUAUUGGUUAGUGUUUGUGUUUAUGUGCUUGAUUGAUUCAAGAACUUACCAGAGUUGAAGAGUUGGGUGGUGAGAAAAGAGAUACAUGACGGAGAAGCCCUGGUUUAUUUAUAUUGGUUAGUGUCUGUGUUCAUGUGUGUUUGCCAGCUAAGUAAGUCUAACUUGUUAGAGUUGAAUACUUGGGUUGGUAAGAGAAGUUCUCGUGUUCCUGUGUUUUGUCACUGAAAUAUUAGAGUUUCUAUGACCUAAUGAAUCCAACCAAUGGAAGACACAGAUGGUGGAUAACAGCAAAUGCCACUAGUGGUAUAAGAGCCAAGAACAUUGUGCAUUGUCUGCACCCAGCGCCCGAUACAGGCAAUUGAAAAGAUCGCCAAGAGGAUCCUUAAAGCUGUUUUGAGAAUCAUUUUAUCAAAGAAAGUAGGAUUUUGUUCGCAUUCCUCACUAUUAGUCUUUCUAUUUUGUUGAUAAUUUGACAGUAACUAUCGACUUAGUUUAGUAUCCUCUCAGAUAGUAUAUGUGUGAUAUGAUACCAAAGUUAUGCGAAACAAAGAUUUUUAUACAGAAUUCAGUGUCUGCGAUAAAUAGUAACCUCACUAGUUCAAACGAAAAUCGCGGAUAAACAAAUUUUGGAUGAAUGAUAACAGCAGAAUCAUUCCUAUAUCAUUCACAAUCUUAACACCAACAUUGUCUUCGACUCAUCAAAGCAUCGCUAAGCUCCAGACAGGCCAAGAAAGAAAAAGAGAAAAACAGAUGGACUAGCACGCAUUCAUUACUCCAACUUCUCGAGUUCUGACAUCCUUUCGAUGAUCGCCUGCAAGUAAAAAAUUGUUCCCAGCAUUUAAAGGUUUAGUGGUUGAGCAAAGGAAUGUGUUAGUGCAAGAGGAAAGCUUGAAACCAAAAUUUAUACCCUUUUGCUUGUUUCUUGGAGCUCCCCAGCAAGAAUGAAUUCAUCGAGUAUCAGAUACACCUUUUAAUUGAAAUCACAGAGAAUUAGUAGCAAAUAUUAGAGUACAAACACAGAUCAUAUCUAAACACACAGAAGCAUCCACAUAGUUAGACACAAAUGGGAAAUGCUUUUGAGAAUGCUGCAGAUAUAUAUUUAUCUAACAGGUCAUGUUGGUCAGCUUAGAAUUGGGACAAAUACAAAGAGAAAAGAAUGAAACUAGCUUUUAAUUUUAGCAAACACAAGCUUUCAUUUGAUAGACCCUUAGAAUCUUCAUGGAUAAAAAUCUUCAGAUUCCCCUUAAAAACAUUUACACUAAACUUAUUUAAAGCUCCUAAGUAGAGAAAUGAUGAAGCAAAAAUCCCAGGUUUAAUCGAAAUCAGUGGUUAUACAGCAUCAUAAGCUAAACUUUAAGGGUUACAGGAUCCAAAGAAGCAGUUUUUGAGAACUAAAUAUAAAAAGAGUAAGAGCAACAAAAGAGGUUUGGUAACUUGUGGAAAUUAAACACCAAAUCUAGCUCACAGACAUUGCUGAAGAAAUGGUCCAAGAUCUCCACAAACAAAUGGAUACUCUCCAGGUAAGCCAACUCAUUGUCGGUUAUAUCCACGCACACAGAGAAAAACAAUCCAGCAUAACGCCUGUAUAUCACCUUGUGUGUUCUAAACUGAAAAUAGUUGCAGAAAACAGUUUUAUCAUUCUAGCUCACAGAACAAUAUUGGUUUCUUAAUCACAUUUUCAUGUCUCAUAAGACACAUAUCUACUUCUCUAUACAUAUAUUGAAUGAGUUGGGUUACUUCUACCUCAGCUUAUAAUAUCUCAAACAACAACUAAUACCUCAACCAGAGAAAAUUCGCAGAUUCGAAUUCGACAGAGCAAUGCUCCUAUACUGUGCUAGUAUCAACAGCCCUAAAUCUCAUAUACAAAACCUGAAUUAAGAAUCAUAUGCAUUCCUACAAUCUGGAGAACCCUAAUCUCAAUUGAGACUUUUAUGUUUAAGAUUGAAAACUUUUAAACCAAAAUCGGCUUUGUUGGUUUAAACCGAUCUUUCUAGAAUUUUAAGUUUUCGAUUUUGAACCAAACAUACGUAAAAAAGUCCGUCGAAAAUACAACUCCUUACUUGAAAUCCUACCGUUUUUGUUCAGCCUCCAUAACUCCAUAGAGAGAAAAACGAUUAUCUUAGCUUCUAUCAUGAUUACAAAUUUAUAUUUGAAUACAUUACUAUGUGUUCAGUUCAUCAUCUUAUAAUUUUUCUAUCAUGUUCGUGUAGUGCUUAUUUAGAAAGCAAGAUAAACAAUUCCUACAGCUUUGGCUAACCUUACUUCACCUUUUGAAUCAGUUAUAUUCUCUAAGUUUAUUUGUUUUAUUUUCAUUGGAAUAACUUUCUAAUUAUUACGUUUGCUAAUUAUUGAACAUGAUCUUAUAAAAGUCGCUACGUUGGGCUUGGAAAACAUGGAAAUAUCCUGUAAACUUAAAAUAUCAUGUGGCGCCAAUAAAUAAUUAUAUAAGUAUGUAGCUUGGAAAUCAUCAACAACUCUCAUUGAAUAACACAAAUCAGUAUGAAAGAGUUCGAUGUUAGGUCCGGUUUGUUUUCAACAUAUUUAAACUUUCAAAUUUUGUAUGUUAUAACUUUUCAAAAUUUGUAUGUUAUAACUUUUCAAAAUCAAAAAUUUACUUAAAAGUUAUAACUUUACUUAAAAUAUAAAAAACCUUAAACCUAAGCGUUAAAUUUUUUACAAUACGUGAUAGCAUGUUGAACUUACACACCACUGACGGACCAUAAAGGGACUGGAUGCUCGGCCCGAUUUGUUUUCAACGUAUUAAAAUUUAACACUUAGAUUCAACCAAAAAAAGAUCAUAUUUACUUAUUAAAAAUUAAAACUAUUUUUACUUGAAAUUUGAAUUAAAAAACCUUGAUAUUUUUAGUUGUAAAACAGGAAAAUAGAAAUGUAAUUCAUAAAAUAUUUUUUUCUUUAUGUAUCUUUUUAUAUCGAAAUCAAUUUUUCUUAAUUUAUUUAAUUUUUUAAAAGUUAGAAAAGUUGAGAUAUUACCUGUGAUAUUUAAGAAUCCUGAAGGCUACAGUGACUCAGACGGUGGUCGUUUCUGAAUUUUGCUAAUCGUAAUACAAAAACAAACCCAUCAGCGCAUUUCAUAAUUGUCAAAAACUCAAAUUACUUUGAUAAAACUAAAGACAACUAUCACGAACCUGCUUAUAAAUAUUCUCCUCUUCAGUAAUGGUCUCUAAUGACUGAAGAAAACAGAGGAUCAAUGGAGCUCAUCAUAAAGACAUUCAUCGAGCCUUGAGUCACCGUCGAACCUUCUCCACCCUGAAACAAAAGCAUAACAUUCAGUUCAAAACAAAGAGAUGAAUGAUAAAUAUGAUACGUGAAUCACAAGGCUAUAACAUGUUUGAUGAUGAACUAAAAAGUACACAAAAUGGCUUGCAUUUGCAUCAAUCCAAAAUCGUAUAUGCAUUUACACACACCUAUGAGAUUCAGUUCUUUAAGUUGCAGAGAGGUAGUAAUUAUUCUAUAUGUGGUCGAGAAGCAACAUGAGCUCAGUAGUAAUAAAAUAAAACAAUGUCAAUGGAAACUCGCAAAUCAAAUCAGUAUACCUCAGGUUAUGAAUGUAGUAAUGCUGAUACUACAUGAUCCUUCUUCUUUCUUGAUAAUUGUGAGGAAGUCCUCUUGAUCCAAAUCUUUAUGAACUAUAGAAAAACCUGCAAAGAAGAGAACAACAACAGAGAAGAACAUCAAUGACCAGCAAAGACAAUAUAUAUAUACUAGAAACUAAUAGGUCUGAAACAAACAAACCUCCUCCUAUCAAAAGGUCUGAAACUUCCUUGUCUACAGAUCAAUGGAUUUGUCAGAAAACCAUAGCUAACACUGUAACGCUCACAUACAAAUACAUAUAACUCUAACAGUUAAGCAACAGAGGAAUUCUAACACAGAAAUACACAAAAAAUCAUAUAAGAAGGAGACAGAGAGAACCACAAAUACUCAUUACAAAACCAAAGAGAGUAAUACGUGAAUCAUCAUAAGGCAAACAUUGGCUUCCAGAUUCAAUGAAGACACAAAUCGAAUCAAAACAACUGUAAUUCCAAAAGGCAAAAGAAUGAUGAUUGCUACAUAAUAAACUCCUAAAAAUUGGAUAAAAGUUCUCAACUUCUAAGACACAAGACCAUAUCCAGCACAGAGGAACAAGAAGAGAUAGAGCUGUACCUUGAAGGGUAAAGAGGAAGCAAGAGCACCACCAUGAGGACGAAGCAGAGGUUAGAUAGAUCCCAAAAACGAACCAGAAGAAGAGAGAUCAAAAGCCUCGAUCAUCACAACCAUGUCUCAAGCCUCAGCAUUCUAUGAUCGCCACUACGUCUCAAGCCUCAGCAUUCUAUGAUAGUUCUCAACUUCUAAGACACAAGACAUCUAAGACACAAGACACAAGACAUCUAACUCCUAAAAAUUGGAUAAAAGUUCUCAACUUGUAAGAGACAAGACAUCAACAACAAGACCAUAUGCAGACAGAGGAACAAGAAGAGAUAGAACGGUACCUUGAAGGUAAAAGAGGAAGCAAGUGCACCACCAUUAGGAGGAAGCAAAAGCAGAGGUUAGAUAGAUCCCAACACGAACCAGAAGAAGAGGAACCAAAAGCAGAGGUUAGAUCCCAAAGAGGAACCAAAAGCAGAGGUUAGAUCCCAAAGACGAACCAGAAGAAGAGGAACCAAAAGCAGAGGUUAGAUCCCAAAGACGAACCAGAAGGAGACGAACCAAAAGUCUGGAUCAUCGCCACCAUGUCUCAAGCCUCAGCAUUCUAUGAUCGCCCUGUUUGCAUAUCUCGAUCAUCAAACCGAAUCUCACAACAACAAAUUAACCAGAGAAAAGCUAUAAAGGUAGAAGCUUUACACCAACGAUGAAUCAGAGAUUCGAUGGCGAAGAGGGUUAUGCUUUGUUGUUCGACAAGAGAGAACGAACUAAGGAUAUUGAUUUGUUGAAGAGAAAGAAGAAGAAGUGAGAGAAACAGAGAAUUUUGAUUUCUCGAUCAAAAGGAAGAACGGAGAAGAAGAAAGUUUGAGAAGCUUUGAGUUGUUUAACAAAAAAGAAGAAGCUUUGAGUUGACAGAAAGAGUUUUUUUAAUUAAAAGAAAAGGAAACUGAUGAUAUCACAAUCACAACGGUUAUAUUAAUACCGAGAUUUUGUUUCUUUUAAAGUUUCUUCAUUACAACGGUAACAUUUUGAACUUGUUAAUUUUAAAAGAGAAUUUACUGAAAAACUAGGUUCGGACCCGCGGUACAACGCGGGGGAAAUAAUUACAUAUAUAUAACUUUUAUCAGAUUAAAAUAUGUUGCAUUUUAAUUUUGUUAGAGUGCAGUCGAUUACGGUAAAUCAUAUAUUUGUAUAAUAAGUUUAAAUAAAAUAAUAAAGGAAAAAGCGAGUAAAUAAUCAUAUACUGAGUUUUGAUACAAUUAAAAACACGGUGAAAAUUUAACAGCACGAAAUAAUAUUUGUCGAUAAAUUAUUCAUUUUGGCCAUUUUUGUAGUAAAGGUAGGAAUAUAUGUAAAAAUUACAUAUUUACAAUAUAUUUUUUGAAAGUCCAACCCGUAACAGAAUUCAUUUUGUAAAAAACAUUAUUCGUAACUCGUUUUAUCAUUAUAAUUGUGAUUUUAACAAUCUAGCCGUGAAUUAUCUAAAAUUUACAUAUUUUGAUAUAUAAUAUAUUUUAUCAAUAAAAAUUAUGUAUCCAAAAUUACAUUUAUAUCUUAAAAAAAAAUAUUUCUAUAUUUUAAACUAGGCAAGUUACCCGCGUUUCGCCGCGGUUAAGGGGAAGAAUAUAUACAUUUUAGAGACGAAUUGAUAUUAACAACAUUGUAGUAUUUGUAAUCAGUAAUCUUGUUUUUAAAUAUCUAGAUAUUUCAUUUGCUUUUUGUAUUUGAAAUUGCAACAAUGUUGUGAACCUAUUGCUCAUAAUGGAUAUGAUUUGGUUACGUCUUAUUCUGAAUUUUACAAUGUGCAUACAUGAACCAACUGUAUUAUAAUUUUCAAUAUAACAUGAAUACUAUAUCAUGAUCAAUAUUAAUAUGUAAUGACCAAACUGAAAAUGAUAAUUAAAAAAUUCGGCCAAUUUUUCAAAGAUCAACGAUGUAUUUGUAAAUGUUUAAAUAUCAAGAAUAUCAAGAAUAAACACAUAGUCGUUCUUACAUAGAAUCUCCGAUGAUUCAUUAUAUAUAACAAAAUCCAAACUGAAACAAAAUAUUGAUCCUAUUAAGGUUUCAAAACACAAAACAUCUAUACAUUAAUAAGCAGGCCAUGUUAUUCCUAUGCUAGAACUGCAUUGAAACCAUCUUGUAAUCAUUCCUCGGAAGAUACUCUGAAAUGGUAGUUUGCAGCAAAUUCAGAGCUACAAUUCAAAUAUCCAAGUUAGUUAGAAUCUAUAUAAAAUAAAAAACAAUGGGACAACCAUAUGCCUAAAAGAAAACGUAUAAACUUACCUUAUCUUGUGGUUUUCUAGACCAGUAUUGGUUGGGUUAAGAAAUGUCCUUGAAGCUCCACUAUCACCUUCAUCAUCAUUAGUAAUACAGGGCUUACCUAAACAAAGUAAACAACAAAGGAAAUUAUAAUAUUUUCUAAUCCGUCUAUUGUAAAAUCUCAAACAUUCAAAUAGAACUACAAACAUUCAAAUAGAACUAAACUCUCUUUACCGUGAUAUGUAGAUACUCUCCAAAAUCGAAGGACACAAAACACCGGGUGUGUUUUGUAAGUGAUAUUGUAACCCUUUGACCUCCACUCCCUUAAGAAGUUAUGAGCACCUAGUCCUCUAAUAUGACAACUAAUUCUUUCAUUCCUGUUACAGUACAUUGUAUAUAAUUAGGCAAAUUUAUAAGCAUGCUUUCCAAUAUAAAAUAUAACUAAGCAUAAGUAACGUUUACUAAAUUAACUUCCAUUAAUCAUUUGGAAAACCAAGCCGUUGACUCUAUAAGGAUUCCCAUACUCAUCCAUUUUACUAUCCUCUUCUUUCAAUUCACCAACAUCAAUUAUAGAUCCGUAGAAAUCUAACAUGGAGUAAAUAUAGACAAAAUGCUUAGAAUAGAUAGAUAUUUCAUAUGGUUCAAAAUAUGAUAAUUUAAACUUGAUUCAGAACACUUACCAUAGGAAUUAUCCACAGGAACGAUUUCUUUUAAAACAUGCGAGAAAUCUUCAAAGUGAUAGUAUUCUUUGGAAGACAGAGGAGCUAUGCGCAUCAUACUUGUCUUCUCAUCAACCUUGAUCUGGUACGUAUGGUUGGUGUUUCUUUCUGGCAACACAGGCUUUAUAACUCUAAAAUCUUUGAUGGAAUACCAUACCCCUUCGUAAACAUGUUUAGGGAUAUUCUUCUCAGAAUGUUUUAACACAUAAGUAGCUUCAAUCCUGUCACCCUAUAUUAAGAUUUAAGAGCAAACUAAUCGACUUAAACUAAAGCAUUAGAACUCAAAAUUGACCGAUUACUACACAAUUGAACAUAAGGGAAGUUUAACAUAUGUUUAUUGAAAAUUUAGAAACAUAAAUUACCUUUUCAUCGGCAAGGAUUAAAACCCUUUUCAUGAAGAAAUCCCUUCGAUAGGCAAUAGACAAUAUUUUCGCUUCUAUGUUCCAAUUAGUUCUUGAAGGAUUCAAAUCGGCAACGGAAUCUGUUCGCAUGAUUUCUAAAUUAUAAAUUUCUGUUUUCGUUGGAAGAAUUGUGAAGAAGAUGAUAGGCGGUGUGUUUGAUCUUUCGGAUUCCAAAUGAAAAUAGAUUUAGUUUAGGUAAAAAAAUAAAAGUCCAUUAGACGCUUAUAAAUUGUAAAUAGUGGUAAGUUGCGUCGUUUGGAUUUUCACAUUAACAUUUUUAAAAAAAAACACUAAUAUUUCGUUUGGACAUGUAAGAUAUUUUUAAAAGAAUCAAAUGUUAUAGAAUCGAAUGUUUUAACUGUUAUUUACUAUAAGUAUGUUAUUCUUUUUAUAUUUUAAGUGGUACAUAUAAUUAGAGUCUAUAAAACCCUUAAACCCCAAACUGAACAAAACACAUUAUUUAGUGAUAAAUGUAAAAUUCCUAACAAAUAGUAGGGUUUGAAACAAAAUUUGGUUUAUGAUUUAUACUCACGAGAUUUAAACCCGAUGGGUUGGUUAUCUUCUGAUGACAUGGUUUAUGAUUAUACUCACGAUAUUAGAACUUAUUCUGAAUGAAAUUAAUAUUCUAUUUGAAUAUUUAUGCUAAUAAUGUAAAUUAAAUAAGCUAUUUUGAGAUAUCCACAUCUGUAAAUAGGAACAAAUUGGCUUGGUUGGCUUGAUAAUAAGAAUUAAAAUUUACAAUAGACCAAUAUUAAAGUCUGAAAGCAUAAAACAUUUUAAGUGGAUACAUAAUAAAUUGAUUCCGUGCAUGGUAAGGUAAACACUUGGAAGUGAUACUUCAAGAUCAAGCUUUAUUUUCAGCAAAAUUUCACUAAAUAAUUUAUUUGGUUCAUGAUUUCUAGGAACUUCGAAGAUAACCACCAUUCAUUUGGUCCCAUAAAUAACGUACGCACAAGUAGUACCAGUUUUGGAUAUAACUUUAUACUCAAAGCACCUAUAAGUAUGAUAAUUCCUAUUUUUUGCUCACAAUCUUCUUUUGUAUAUAAAAUUGUUCCCUUCUAUUCUAAUUUUUUGAAUCCGCCUAUAUGAACCAAUUGUAUUAUGAUUUUCACAAUGAUCAAAUAUAAAUGAAUUUUAUAUUUAUGAUUGAAAGUAAUACAUAUAAAUUGUGCUUGAGUAGAUGACAUAAUUUAUAUAAUUCUUAAAACUUUUAAGUUAUAUUAGUAUAUAUAAAGUAAUACGUAGAACAACCGUUUAGGUAAAAACUGAAACUGGGACAAUGUGUUUCACAUGAAACUAUGAAAUAAAAUUACAACUAAUCAAAAAAUGAUCCAACAGACCAGUUGAUUUCUAUGUUACUGUUGCAUGGCUUGGAUCUUCUUCUCCGUACUUAGUAGUCUUGUUGAAAUGAUAAGAUGCAGCAAAUUCAGAGCUACAAAAUUUAAUAUUUUACAUUGUUAAGAUUAUAUAUAAGAGAAGCAACAUAUUGACAAAUAUUGGCAAUGGACAGCAUAUUAGAAUUUACCUUGUUCUGUGGUGUUGAAGUCCAGGAUUGUCUGGAUUUAAAACUGUCCUUGAAAAUCCGCAAUAAUCUUCCGCAUCAUUGGUAAUACACGGCUUUCCUAAGAUGUAACAUGUAGAAUGAAUCGGGUUCUAGUUCUUUAUCUGUUCUAUAGAUUCAGGUCCAUAUCAUAUGUAUAGAACUAAAUAUGGUUGUUACCUUGAAAUGAUGACAAUCUCCAAAACCUGAGAACACAAAAGACUGGGUUAACUUUGAAUGUGGUAUUGUAACCCUUUGAUGUCCAUUCGGUUAAGAACUUGUCAGCACUGUAUCCUCUUAAAUGACAUAAGAGAUGUUCAUCCCUAUAACAGGAAACACUCUAUAACUAUUCCAAAAUAAAAGCAAACAAAUCAAUGAGGAUUGAACAUAAUUUUAGCAAUGUUUAGCAAUUUACCUUCCAUUUAUAAGCUUGAAAACCAGAGAAUUGACACCAUAAGUAUUACCAUAAUCAUCCUCCUUUAUAAACUCUUCUUUUAUGGGACCAACAUCAAUAACCGAACCAUAGAAAUCUAGCAUGACUCGAAAUAAGACAAACUUUGUUAAAAUUGAUUAAUUUAAACUUACUUAAAUCAUUACAACAUGUACUAAAAGUAGAACAAACUUACCAUAAGAAUUAUUGAGUGGGAUGACUCCAUUGAAAACAUGAUUAAAAUCUUCAAAUCGGUAGUAAUCUCUGGUGGACAGAGUACCUAGGAUCAUCAUGUCCGUCUUCUCAAAAAAUUUUAUCUGGUACUGAUGGUUGGUAUUCCGUUCUGGCAACACUGGCUUGAUGACCUUGAAAUCUCGAAUGUUAUACCAUUCCCCAUCAUAAAUAUGUUUAGGUACAGGGUGUUUGAAAUUUUGAUAGCAUAUAGAAGCCUCAAUCCGAUCACCCUACAAUCAAAUUUCAGUGGUUCAUCAAUUGCUACAUGUAAAUCAAUCAAUUUAACGUAAUAAGCAGUUCAGGUGAUCAAUAUGUUAUAGAGUUCUUAAGACUUGCGUUUAGCUCAAUUACAUUUAUAUGAAGACUUGCUAUAUGUAAAUCAUUUUAGAAAUCGAUUCAAUGACUAUAUGUAAGUCACAAACAAUUUCUAUAUGUAAGUUUUAUAGAAAAUUACCCUUUGAUCAGCAAGGAUUAGGACCCUUUUCAUCAUAAACCCUCUCUUGUAAGAAAGACUCAAUAUCUUCACGUCUAUGUUCCAAUCAGUCCUCGAUGGAUUCAAAUUGGCUAUGCAAUCUCUCGGCAUCUCGAAACGCCUUGUAGAAUAUCGUGAUUCCGUUUGAAGAAAAGUGUUGAAGUAGAGUAUCGGUGUUUAAGGGUUUAAUCGGUUUCAAUUGUGCCAAAUAGAUUCAGAGUUGGAAGAAGAUGAAAAGUCUAUUGGUGAAACAAUAUUUAUAAUCAAAAAUCGAAAUGGUGCGUCGUUUAAGUUAUGCANNNNNNNNNNNNNNNNNNNNNNNNNNNNNNNNNNNNNNNNNNNNNNNNNNNNNNNNNNNNNNNNNNNNNNNNNNNNNNNNNNNNNNNNNNNNNNNNNNNNUAAUAAAUUAGAUUUAAUUAAUUUUAUUAUUUUUGAUAAAACAUUUGGACAUUAAAGAAUUUUUAACACUAACCAAAAUUUACAUAUGUAUACCCUACAUUUAAACCAUCUGUUAAUUGAAAACAAAUUUUAAUUUAGCUAAUAGAUAAGAUCUAGGACUAAGUAUCAAUUUUUAAAAGCAAAAACCAAUAGUUUAUUAGAUUUAAAAUUUUAAACAACAACAAAGUAAAUGCAAUAGCAUUCUUAUUGGAGAUUCAAAACAAAAGUAAUAUGUAAAGAGUAUACAUAAGAGGAUUUGGUGUGUCUUGCCAACCAAGACAUCUAUUGGGUCUGGUAUGUCUUGGAUUUGUUUAUCUAUAAUGAAAAAUAGCUGAAUCGACUAAUCAUUAGGAACACGGCUCCGCGACUAUAACUAUUAGAGAAGCUAUUUAGAAUAUCAUUAACUUGAUUCGUUUGUAAAUUGAAAAAAUUGACUAUAUAAAGCGUACUUAUUCAGAUCUGCAACCAAAAAAGUGCAUCCAUAUAACUUUCGAGACGAAUUAAUAUUAACAACAUUGUAUAAUUUUUAAUUAGUAAUUUUGUUUUUAAUUAGUAAUUUCUAGAUAUUUCAUCUGCUUUUAAUUAGUAAUCUUGUUUAUAAUUAGUAAUUUCUAGAUGUUUCAUUUACUUUUUGUAAUUUAAACUGCAAUAAAGUUGCGAAUCUAUUUUUGUUUAUGGAUAUGAUUUAGUUACGUCUUAUUCUGAAAUUUACAAUAUGCAUACAUGAACCAACUGUAUUAUGAGUUUCAAUAUAACAUGUAUACUAUAUUAUGAUUUUGAUCAGUAAAUUCACUAAGUUUAAUCGUUUUAAAGUUUACCAUAUUAACUAUAUAAGGAAAAUUAUUGAAGAGUGUAACCAAAAAACGGUUGCAUGAUAAUACUUAUUUUUCAUGAAAAAUAAACACGUAAAUCUGAUGAUGCAACAAAUUGGUAUGUAAUUAAAUGUUAUCAAAGAUUUCUUUAAAGACUACGUUAAGGGUCUUGUUCUGACAUUCACCGUCUUCAUUAGUUAUCAAAAUCUUCAAUCCAUUUCUCGUCGUCACUCUAGAUAAUGCAACAUAUAGCUGUCCAUGUGUAAAGACUGGUUUUGGUAAAAACAAUCCAACGUAUUCCAGCGUCUGACCUUGGCUUUUGUUAAUAGUAAUCGCAUACGCAAGAGUCACAGGAAACUGACGACGCCUCAUACGGAAAGGAAACUUUGCAUCUGGCGGAGACACAAACAUUCUAGGGAUAAGUACUUUUUCGUUUACACUGUUACCUGUUACUAUCCUUGCCUCUAUAACAUGAUCAGCCAUUUGAGUAACAAUCAACCUUAUACCAUUGCACAAACCACCUUUAGGAUCUAUAUUCCUUAGCAACAUGAUAUGGGCUUCUUUCUUCAAUGUUAAUUCAUGCUUAGGCAAUCCUGAGACGUUGAUACUAUUUAAAAAUUCCUGCGAGUAGACCAUAUCGUCGAAAACACUUGUAUCCGACGUUUCAAUGGAAUCUGAACUAAAAUAACGUCUUUCUUCACCUAUGAUAUAGUUAAAUAUGUAAAAGAGACAUGCAAUUUAGUAAACUUAUUUUAUUACCAAAAAGCAUAAUAUUAGAUACACGUAAACAAUUAUAAUGCAUACCUGGUAGUUGAGAAAGCAUAUAUUGAUUGAUUUUAUCAACAUCUUCGUUCCUUGGACUAAGAAUUGCUCUUCGCCUAAAGAAUUUUGGAUCCUUCUCUUUAGCAAAAGAAUUACCAUAGAUUUCCUUAACAAUUGCUUGAAUAGGUUCCUCAGCUGCUGUUAUCAAUAAAUCUUCAGGUAUUUCUAUUUCGACCUCACCAUCGUUUGGCUCAUUGAUUUUACCAUCACCAAUAUCGAGCAACCACCUUGAGAACUCGGCGAGAGCAACAGAUUGCUCGUUAUUAACGCCUUCUCGUAAGCGCAUAUUUUGUGUAAGCUUUAAAACUUUACAGCUUUGCCAAAGCAAUGAUGAGUUUAUAGACGCCAACACAGUUGCGACCCUUCCACCCUCAGGAAUUACUGGGAGAAUCUGUCUAAAAUCACCUCCCAAAACUACGACCUUACCUCCAAAAAUCCUAUUGCACUUCAUAAUAUCUUGCAAAGUCCUAUCCAAAGUUUCAAAACAAAGUCUGUUCAUCAUCGGUGCCUCGUCCCAUAUAAUGAGUUUCGCUUCUCUUAUCAAUUCUGCAAGAUCGGACUCUGCAUCUAUCGAGCACAUUGAAUAUUCGUUUAUAUUGAUAGGUAUACCAAACCUAGAAUGAGCUGUCCUACCACCUUCCAAUAGCAAAGCAGCGAUUCCACUUGAUGCAACAUUUAGAACGAUAUUACCUUUAGAUCGAAUGUCAGCUCCAAGGAUACUCCACAAGAAAGUUUUUCCAGUACCACCGAAUCCAUGCACAAAAAACAUUCCACCCUUGUUUUUAUUUACCGAGUCGAUUAUUUCUUGGUAAACACGUCUUUGCUCUUCAGUUAACAUACCAAACAGUCUGUUGUAAUCUUUCUUUUGUUCAUGACGCUUAUAAUUUUUCUCAUCCAUAAUAAGCCGAUUUUCAUUUGAAUUUAUCACACUAUCGUCUGGUCUUGGCAUAUUAGUAAAAACGGAAAGAGAAGUGCCAUUCGAACGCAUAAGCAAUUCGAUUUCCGACAAACAUAUGUUCCGUAUUUGAUCUUGUGUUAACAUAAGACCUGCAUAUCAAUUUGUAUAAUAGAAUUAAGAAUAUUUUUACCAAAUAUGACAAAAAACUCGUAAAAAUUCAUACAUGAAAAAAUAGAACAAACAUUUUUAAUUAAUUUGAUAAUUUUGCAUAAUACUAAUAAUAAUAAAGAUUCCGAUGUACCUUGAUCAUUCAUGCGAUUCCUAUGGAGAAAUAAAAUAUCUUCGCAUAGUAUAUCUCUUGUCGCGAGCCAAAGAUUUAACGGAACAGAUACACUCUUCGAAAUCAAUAGUAUCACAAAUAGCUUCCUUAAGUACUUGCCAAGACACCAGAAACUUGCUUCCUUUAUAGCUGAAAUAUAUUCUUUGUCAUCAUCCAAUAAUCCUAAUGCAUAGCAAGCAUCUUUAAAUUCUCCGUAAAGAACUCCGUUAACCGUUUUCAAGAAUUCGAAACUGGUUGCACCUGGUAUUUUAUUAAGCAAAUCUCUUAAGUAGUAAGCAUCCCCUGUAGAAGGUGGUACGUACGUAAUCCUUCCUAUUGAAAAACUUUUUCUUUUCCUUGAUCUCCGCUUCCAAAUUUUUUCUUUUUUAUACCAUGCAUAAGCGGUCGGAAAUUCAGCAUACGUUAACUUUCUAGCUUCAGGGUCAAUUCUAUUGCAUUCCAUCCAUGCUAAGAAUUUGCUUCCUCCAUUUGUUGAACGUGACAUAACAUUUUCUAUAGGAUCAUCCUUGUUAUAAAUAACCAAUUGCUGGCCAGGAAGAUGGAAGGGCAAUUUUUCAACAGGUGUUGUACGAUAACAUAUCGGGGACGCUAAUAUUCUCCACGUAGCUUCGCAUGCUGAUACAUAUCUACAGAAACGAAUGAUUAAAGUAUGUUAAUGUUACUUUGAACAACAUGUAUCACAGUUAUAAUUUUACUAUAAAUACCUGCAGUUAAAAUAUUGUUUGAUUUCAUUUUCUUCAUCCUCUUCUCCUACUGAUGCUCUAAUAUAAUCUGGACCUUUGCUGAUAUAUUUGAACAGAUAUUUUAUUGACCGUGACUGGUUACACCACUCUACAUUUAUGUGAGCACGAUAACGAAUCGACAAUUCACGAUUAUACGGAAUAACGUAUCUGUUGUCACAGUCGAAACCUUUCUUAUGCACAAUUCUUCCAUCAUCUCUCCGCCUGUAUACUGGAUAACCAGCAUCAUCUAUCACAGUAUUUUCUACGUAUGGUUUUGGAAAGAACUUUGUGCACUUACCAUCCUUCAUGCAAGGACUAUCGUUGUGUUGACGUCCACAAGGUACAUGAAUCAUAACAUCAGAAACAACUUCAUAUAAAUACUUGUCCACUUCUUUGUCCGGUAUUUCGGCACUUAUGAAUUUAUCUAUGUCGUCCGUUGUGCGCAUUUUAAAAUCCGGAUGCAAAAAUAAAACCAUGUGCGCAUGUGGUAGUCCCCUUUUUUGGAAUUCUAUUGUAUACAUAGCUGCGUAAAAAUCAAAACGGCAACGUAACUAUAUUUAUAUUUGUAUAAUAUUAUUAAAAAAUGUAUAUGAAAAUAAGAUACGUACCAGAAUUCAUCGUACCGAAAGUUUUCUCUUUGGUGACUUGAUGCAUGAGCUUAUCUAAUUUCAUCUUAAAAACCCGGCAACAAAUAUCUGGUCUAUCCUCUUGUUUAAGACGAUGUCUAGUAAUAUAACGCACAACUUCAGGCCACUUAGGAUUGCAAGUUAUCGUUAUAAAAAGGUCGGGAAAACCAAAGAAUUUGCAAGUGGCCAUUGCAUCUAAAUAAUGCUGCAUCAUAUACCGUUUUCCUCCAGUAAACGACGAAGGUAUGUAAAUCCUUUUCCCAUGCUCUGAAAGAUCAGUACGUCCUUUAUCAGCAGCUUCGAGUAUCUUAUCUAUUCUUUCUGUCCGAAGUUUUUUUUGGUUCAUCCAAAUAUAAUUUAAUCUGUUUGAUUCUAUAGUCGUGAAGGCAUCCACUAAGAACUGCUGGAAUAAUUUUCCGGACAUGACAAUCGUAGAAGCUUCUCCAUAUCUCUCUAAAAUUCGAUAAGCAUAAAACUCUCUCAUGCUCACGGUUUUCCUUUUCCGUCCAGCAGUAUCUAUAAAACCUAUGUCAAUCCCUAACCGGUAACCGUCCUCUCCAUAUGGAAACAACAAAGGAUAUUGUAAAGGUAAAUAUGCCGGAUGAAGCUCGCUUAUUCUUUGUAAAUUGCCUGAACGACCUUCUAUAACAAUAUCACGCUUAUUCUCACCGCAAUUAAAAUCACCUGGAAUUAAAGCAGCCACCUCAUUGCAGGUAGGUAAAUUAUGAGUUCUCGCAUCAGAAGCUCUAUCCGAAGGCAAACGUAAUUUUAAAUCUUCAACACCGCAAUCCAUAUCGAAUCUCUCUCUUGCUGACCUAAAAGCCCGGACGUGUGGAUUAUGAUUAUCAAGCAUCUUCUUGAUUAGCUCUACAGUGUCAGGCCUCAAAUUUUCAGUCGAUCCAGAUCUUCUAUAAAAACACAAAAAAUAUGAAUUAUUUUUUAUUUUUAUUAGAAAAUUAAAUCGAAACAUUAUACAAAAUAACACAAAGAUGUUAUUAUUACCCGUAUGCACUUAUUCUAUUAGAAACCUCAUUCUGUAUAUCAUGAAUAUAUAGUUGUAAGAACAUAGGUGUUUUCCCCGGUUCUGGCAAAAUAUCACCAAUACGAUGAUAGUUUUCUCCACACAUUUGAAACAGAUAUGGUCCAGCACCAUCAUUAAUAGAAUGGUUAACCUUGCCCCCUAAAGAUGUGAACGAAAAAAUCAUAUUGUAUGCUCUUAUAUUAUCACGAAAGUUGAUACUCCUAUCAUCGUGAUUAUAGAACAACGAUGACAACGUUUUCGGUGGAGGUUUAAGUAAAGGGAGCUUAAUUUUUCCGUGACGACAACACAUUGAAAAAAUUGGCUUUCCUUUUUUGGAUUUUUUAUUCACACGCUCUCCAAACCACAUAUAGGCUCCACAAUUCUCACAGAUAUAAAACGGAUCUCCAUCAUCGUAAUACCCUGCGCAAAGUUUUAAUACAUAAGCAUUGUUGAUAUUGUUAGUGAUUUACAGAUUAUUGUUAUUAUUAUUAUUAGUGAUAGUAAUUCAAUAAGAAUACUAAAAGUGGAAACUAAACGAACCGUUCUCUUGUAAUCCAGCUCUUACAGCCGUAAAUCCGCCGAUUACAUUAUUAGACAUUGUAUUAUCAUCACCAUAUUCGGUCUCAGACUCGUCGGUAGACAUAUCAUUCUCGCUUCCUCUAUUUGACUCCGAAUCAGUAGCAAUAUAACAUACAAAAUCUUCUUGUAAUCCAGGUAGUAGCAAAGUUUCUAUAGAAUGACCAAUAAUUGGUUAGCAUAUUGAUGCAUAUUAUAAUUUAAUGAGUAGGUAUUCUACUCACUUGAACUUUAUUUAAUUAAAGAUAAUGUUACCUUGGUUAUCCUUCUCCGUUUUCCGGGAUCUCAAAACACGCAUUCUAUUCAUCCUUUCGAUUUGACCUACGUUAUUGUGUGUGAUGUCUCCGAACUGGUGAUGUAUAGAUCUAGCUAUAGAGACAUCUGUUAUAGUUUUAAAUUUAAAAACUGGUAACUAUGUUUCGAAUUAACACAUGAAUCAUAAAGAUUAGAAAUUUGCAAAUAUCAUCGUUGUAUAAUUCUUAUUUUGUUUAUAGAUUUCAAAGAUGUAGUUACUCUUUAUUGUCGAACCAUGAGAUACAUCUUUCUUUCUACGGAAUGGAAGCUUUGUAGGUCUCGUUAUGGAGACAUCUUCAAUAGGUUUAAAAACUGGGUAACUAUGUCGAGUGUUAAGACCUGAAUUAUAAAAAUUAGAAAUUUAAAUAUCAUAGUUCUAUAAUUAUGAAUUUUUUAUAACAGUUUCAAAGAUAGAGUUAUUCUUUUUAGGCAUACCAUGAGGUGCAUCUUUCUUCCUCCGAUACGGAAGCUUUUCAGGUCUCAUCGUAUUUGUCUACGUGUAACGACCUGCAAACAAAUUUUAAAAACACCGUAAAUAAUUAUGCUACAAUAAUUAUGUUUAGGUUUAAAACUGGACGAUAGGUUUUAAUAAAUUGUGUAUCUAAUAUAUAACCUCAGGAUGAGGAGAAUCUAUUAUGUGAAAAUUAGCGAUUUCAUGCUUAUCAUAUUAUCGUUUGUAUUGAUCUUAUAAUUUAUUUAAAUUAUUAAUUAACAAAAUUUGUAUAUUUCCAUUUAGUUAUUAUUAUUAUUAUUAUUUACAUUUUAAUGAUCCUUUAAAUUAGAAAUUUUGCCUAUUGUGAUAAACACAAUUGAGUAUUAGUAAUAUAUAUUACUUUUAUUGUCACACCAAACAGUUUCCUAUAACUAUAAAAAUUUAAGAGAUAUUAAGCAUUUAUGGAAUAUUUCUAAUAUCUUACUUGUAUUGUCACACCAAACAUUUUUCUAUAUUAAGGGUAAAUUAGUAACUUCUAAAGUGUAUAUAUUCUUACUUGUAUCGUCUUAUUAAACAUUAAAAUAUUCAUAAUACUUUGUUUAACAUUUUCAUUUUUGCACCAUUAGUUUAUAAUAAUAUUAUGAUAUUUCAAUAUAUCUUCUAAUAAUAUAAACCUAAUACUAAUCAUUAUUAUAUAUAAUAAUAUAGUUUGCGUAAAACCAUAUAAUUCAAUCAAUAUUUAAAGCUUAGAAAGUUUGUAAAAUCCAAGAUAAUAAAGCAUAAUGACCGGAAACAUCGAAUGUUUGAAUACCACAGUAAAUAAUAAAACAAUACUAUGUUGGUUUUUCGGUUUUGAUCUUCUUCCUUGUAAUCAUAUAAUGACUAUUCGCGGAGUCGCCACUCUUUCGAGAAGUUCUCUUCUUCGACGAAGAUGUAACCGAAUCAGCCGAAGAACUUUCGUCUAUUCCAUCGGUAAUUUCCAGAAUCCGAGGAUUGACAUCGACAUUUCCAUAGCUCUCCUAUAAGUCACAACAAUCACCAUGAAUAUAUUACAUAAAAAGACUCUCGUUAACACAAAAUAGCUAAUAUUAAUAUUCGUAACAUUAUACCUUUACAAAUUGUACUAUCAUAUCUUCUUUUCCCCAAAAUUUUUCAACAACAUAAGCAGAUUUGGAACUCUUCAAAUUGUCAUUUGUGAUUGAAACCUUGAACAACAUAGUUUUUCCAAUAAAAGAAGAAAUAGCAAUGGGAAUGCUCGAAGGAUCAUCCUGAAAUAUAUGAAUCAAUUGGUUAAACACCGUUUAUGACAUUCAAUAUGAACAUGAAUGUUUAGAAUUUUACCUCAGCUAACUGUGCAACCAAUUCAUCAGCCUUUUUUCCAAUUAGUAGUUGAGACAGACCAUCAAAGAAAAGCAGUCUAAUACUUGGAGAACUUCCAUAUGAGACAUGUAAUAUCAAUUUAAACCUAAUUUUUGAAAACAAAAAACAUAACUCAAUGAUCUUACUUCGCAGCGUUUUCAUACGUCAUAAGAUUAUAAAGCACAAUCUAAAUGAGUGUUUCUUACUUGCAAUCAACUUCUGUAACAUCUUUAUCGCAAACACCACAGCUGUAUAAUCGUUCUUUUCCGACUUGAGAAUCUAACGGGUAUGGCUGAACUUUUUUAUUACAGGCUUUGCAAGCAAUGUAAUACCAUUUAGGCAGUGCCUCUACGGAAAUAAUUUUUGCAAUUGUAACACAUGUACGCACCUGAAUAUAAACACACGUUUAAUCAUUAAAUAUAUCUUUUUAUUGACGCAUGUAAUUAAAAAAUACCUCUAGUGCAUAAAGUAUGUCGUCUAUUGUCAUCUUUUCAUUGAAUACGAAGAACUCUUCAUAUAGCGUGACCUUUGGAAGUUCAUUUUUAGGCUCAUUAUUAAUCUGAACUAAAUCGACGACCUCGGAUGGCAACCUGUCAAAAAUAAAUAUUCUAAUAAGUAAAUUUAUGUAUACUAAUAACACCUCUGAUAAUCAUGCAAAUUUAAAUUAUCUGAAAGUUUUGACAUUUUAGUAAACUUCUCCACUUCUGUGAUAUUUGGGUUGAACAAAACAUCUGUUGAACCGAAAGAGUUGGAUAUGCUAAAAACUCCUGAAAUUUGAAAAUCGUUUUAAUACGUAAUCGUGAUAAAUAUUGAAAGCAAUUUCUCAUGUACAAUCAAAAUUACCUCUCCACUCCUUAAUGCAUGCAAAUCGAAUAACGCAUACGACGACAGAUUCAUCAUGUUCUUUUAUCGAACCUUCAAAAUUUCUAGCAACAUCACCCCACAGCGUGCAAUUUAACUUUGUACCCCUAUAUAAUAAAAAAAUAGUGAGCUCCUUUUUUGUAAUAAUAAAUAUACUAAUAAUUUACUCUAUAAAUUUCUAAAUUUUAAAAUAUAUUAAUUAUAUACUUUAUACUUUAAAAUAAAAUAAAACCAUACUUCAGAUCUUGCAAUUCGAAAGCUAGUUUCACAUUAUCCUUCCCUUUAGUUUUGAUACUCUCAAGACAGUCGACGUUAACAAUCUGGCCAAUUACAUCUACAUAAACAAUAAAAAAUUAUUACGAUUAGAAAAUUUGUACCUAUUUAUUUACUUAAAAGAGUAUAUAUUACGAAUUUGACAACUCACCGAUCAACAAAUGUCUUUCUGCUUUUCCGGCCAAAAUAUCAGAAAACUCUCGGAAAUAUUUUUCAGGAAUUUUAGUUGGAAAAUCAUCAAACGGUUUGACCGUAGUAGUUCUAUAGAACAACAUCUUAAAACCUAAUGAACUUGUUCUGUAAUCACCAUCAUAAUCAACUAAACCGAAUGUGUCUAUUUGUAACGCCCGUGUCUGGAAAUCCGGGUGGUGUCAAUCGACACUGUGGUUGGGUGUCGAUCGACACUAGUAUUUCUGGUUUGACGGUUUAAGUUUUAAAUCGUCGGUUCAAUUGAGGCUUGGUUUGGGUUGGUUAACCCUAGGUCGUGUUUAAAAGAGGGAAGGUCGUGUGUUGUCUCUUCCCAGCCGCUUUUUAACACUUCCAGAGAGAGAAAAAGGUUCUAGAGCUUUUGAGGGUUUUUGUGAGUCUUUGGUGGUGUUUGGUGGUGUUCCUGGUGGUUUAAGGCUAGUAGAGGCUAGAUCAGUGUUGUGUGGUGUUAGAGGAGACAGAUCCUUCCUUGUUCUUCCUUGUUUUCGUUGCUGUUCUUCUUGUUAAAGAGGUGAGUGCAUGACCAGGCUUAUCUAAGCAUGUUUGAUCAUUGUUUCAGGGUUUUGAUGAUUGAUUGAUUGAUUUCCUUUGCUUGUUUAGCUGUUUAUUUGAUGAUUGAUGCAUGUGGAAUCCUUUGGAGACUCGUUCUUAUCGUGGUGGUCUUUUGGAGAAGAGAUCCAGUGAGAAAAGCAGUUGGAGCGUCUGCUGAGAGUCGGUGUCGAUCGACACCAACGUUUCAUCGCGUGAGGAUAACUGCGUCUUACGAUUGGAGUGUCGAGACCGGUGUCGUCCGCGAGGGUCGAUAGCGAGUGUCGAUCGACACCAGUGGAGGGUGUCGAUCGACACUGAUAGUCAGAAGCGAUUCUGGUCUAUCUUUUAUUGGUUGUUUGGUUCUUUUCCUUGGAUUUUGGUUGAAUGUGCUUGUGUGUAUAGCCAGUGGUGGUAUGAUUGCCUCACUAAGUAUUUAUGAAAUACUUAUGCAUCUCUUUCUUUGAUGCAGGUAAAAGCAAAGUGUGAUCCGUGUAAUCAUGGCGAGAAGAGGAGGAUGAUAUAGGCGCUCAUUGGUGUUUAGAUGAUUGUAUGAUUUGUUAGGAUGCUAGAAUGGAAUUUAGAAGCAUGUUAGGAUGAAUUCGUUUCUGGAAUAUUGAUAGUUGAACUUGUUGGAUUAAUGAAAUGGUUUGAUUGGAUUUUUGUUUAAGUCUUCCGCUGGUUACGUUGAGUUGGUUGUGUUAGUAAAAUUGUCUGGGUUGCUUUAAAGGGGUUAAUCCGGAUUGUUUGCAUGUUUAAAAGAAAAAAAAAACGGGAUGGGUUCUUUCAAUUUGGUAUCAGAGCAUUUACGGUUCUAGUACGAGAUUUAAUUGGUAAAAAUUGUGAUGUGAUGUGUGAAUUUCAUUGAUGAGGAAUGAUGAUGUGGAUUGCAUGCUUAAUGAUUGUGUGUGUAAUCAAUUGUGUGAGCAUUGAGACCUAGAUCAUCCUCUCGAGCAUUCAAUGAGAUUCCACGGUAAGUGUGUUGUUUGGUGAUUUGUUUGGUGUUCUUAGCCUUCUGUUGUGUUGCAGAUGGUUAGAGGUGGAGCUGUCGGUCGUGGUCGUGGUCGUGGUCGUGGGCGUGGUCGCGGUGGGGGGCGUGGUGUUGCCUCGGAUAGCGACACGAGUGUGGGCCGAAGUGCUACGGCCGAUGUUGUUAGUGAGUACCAGACGCAUCAGGACGGGCACGUGGGUGGUGAGAGUGUGAGUGCCGUGAGAGCCGGUUCGUCCCUGAACGGUACUAGUGUUGUUGGGAACCCGGUCGGGGGUGUUCCAACAGGUGAAGCCCAGGGUCAGAAUGAUCGGCUUGCGGAUUUACUGACGCAUCUCUUGGAGCGGUUACCGGGUGCGGUACCGCCGGUGCAGGCUCCUCUUGGGCCUGGUGUGCAGGCUCCUCUUGUACCUGGUGUGCAGGCUCCUCUUGGACCUGGUGUGCAGGCUCAUCUUGGGCCUGGUGUGCAGGCUCCUCUUGGGCCUGGUGUGCAGCCUGUUGUUGGGGUUGUACCGCCUGGGGAGGUAGGUGCGGUGGUCGAGCAGCCGUACUACNNNNNNNNNNNNNNNNNNNNNNNNNNNNNNNNNNNNNNNNNNNNNNNNNNNNNNNNNNNNNNNNNNNNNNNNNNNNNNNNNNNNNNNNNNNNNNNNNNNNGCAGCGGUUCGGGAUGUCCUUGUUCUUCGGAGGUUCCGACCCGGCUGUAGCGGAUGAGUGGCGGGUGAGAUUGGAGCGGUAUUUCCAGUCGAUGAGGUGUCCGGAGGCGUAUCGGGUGGACCUAGCGGCCCACUACUUGGCGGGUGAUGCUCAUUUGUGGUGGCGGAGUGUGCUGGCCAAGAGGGGGCAGGGAUUGGCGGUGUGGGGAGAUUUCUUGGCAGAGUUUAAUGCCAAGUAUUUUCCGGCGGAGGCAUUGGACCGGAUGGAGUCGCAGUUCCUGGCGUUGACUCAGUGCGAGCGGUCGGUGCGGGAGUACGACUCGGAGUUCAGCCGACUCUUGGUGUACUCGGGGCGUGCGGGAGAUCCUGAGCAGAUGCAGGUGCGUCGGUUCAUGAAGGGUCUCAGCCCUGACAUGAGGGUACGGUGCAAGGUGCGGGCCUAUGCAUCGCGUGUGGAGCUGGUUGAGCUAGCGGCGGGGAUCGAGGACGAGUUGAGAAGUCACGGGGUGAUUCCCAGUCCGUCGGCGCAGCCGAAAAAGACCCAGCCACAGUCAGUUCCGAGCAAGGGUGGCAAACCUGCUCAGGGACAGAAGAGGAAGUGGGAUGACACUUCCAGGGUGAGCCAGGGUGAUCGGAGGUGCUUCAGGUGUGGGAUUACGGAUCACAGGGUGGCAAGCUGCCCGAAGAAGGGCGAGCCGUGGGUUGAUACCCGUGUCUGUUACCACUGCAGAGAGACGGGGCACAUCAAGACGAGGUGUCAUAAAUUACAGCAGAUGGCGGUAGCAGCGGUGCAGCCGGUGAUGCAGCCAGUGGUGCAGCAGUGGGUGCAGCCAGGAUUGCAGUUGGCAGGGCAGUCGUUGGCUCAGCUGGGAGCAACGCCGGUUGCACAGAUAAAGGGAUCGAGGGGGUAUACGACCGUGGAGACAGGAGAGCCAAGCACUGGACGGCCGAUCACAGGUUUAAUUCUAAGACUCAUUCUGUUUACUUCCGUUGUUUUAUAAUUUGUGUUGUUUCCUGUGAUUUUGGGGUGGGCGGUCUUAGUGAAAAGGGUUUGUGUAGGGACCCUGUUGGUGGGCGGGUUCAUGUCCCACGUGAUGUUUGAUUCUGGAGAUACGAAUAGCUUCAUUACCCCAGAGUGCGCGACGGGUGGUAACAUACGAGGAGAUCCCGAUGGUUGUUAUGGAGCCGUUAGAGUCGCAGGAGGCGCGUUGCUAGCGGUUCAGGGACGGGCUAGUGGUGUGGAUGUACAGAUUGCGGGAGAGUCGAUGCCGGCAGAUCUGUACAUUAGUCCGGUGGAGUUGUAUGAUGUAAUUCUGGGCAUGGAUUGGUUGGAGCGGCACAGAGUUCAUCUGGAUUGUCACCGGGGGAGAGUAUACUUCGAGCGUCCCGGACCGAAAAUGUAUUUCCAGGGUGUGAGACCGAUUUCGGGGAGUUUAGUGAUUUCGGCGAUUCAGGCGGAUAGGAUGAUCCGAAAGGGGCGGGAAGCUUAUUUGGCUACGAUUGUCAUGCCAGAGACGGUUGAUGAGGUAGUAGUGGAUAAGAUCCGGGUGGUCCAAGAGUUCGAGGAUGUGUUUCAGUCGUUGAAGGGGUUACCACCAUCUCGGUCUGAUCCCUUCACGAUUGAGUUGGAGCCCGGGACAACGCCGUUGUCUAAGGCUCCGUACCGGAUGGCUCCAGCGGAGAUGGCGGAGCUGAAGAAGCAGUUGGAGGAUCUGCUGGGUAAGGGUUUCAUCCGUCCUAUUGUUUCACCGUGGGGUGCACCGGUGUUGUUCGUUAAGAAGAAUGAUGGGAGUUUCCGGCUGUGUAUCGAUUACCGGGGACUUAACCGAGUCACGGUGAAGAACAAGUAUCCUUUGCCGCGGAUUGAUGAGUUGUUGGACCAGUUGAGGGGAGCUAUGUGGUUCUCUAAGAUCGAUUUGGCGUCGGGUUACCAUCAGAUUCCUAUCGACGAGGCGGAUAUCCGUAAAACGGCGUUCAGAAAGAGGUAUGGGCAUUAUGAGUUCGUGGUGAUGCCUUUCGGGUUGACUAAUGCACCAGCGGCGUUCAUGAGGCUGAUGAACAGCGUGUUCCAGGCGUUUCUGGAUGAGUUUGUUAUCAUCUUUAUUGAUGAUAUCCUGGUGUAUUCUAAAAGUCAUGAGGAGCACGAGUUAGACUUGCGGGCAGUGUUGGAGAAGCUGCGCGAGCAGAAGCUGUAUGCUAAGUUGAGCAAGUGUAGUUUCUGGCAGAGAAAGAUGGGGUUUCUGGGUCAUAUCGUGUCUGCAGAGGGAGUUUCUGUGGAUCCAGAGAAGAUUGAGGCUAUCAGAGAUUGGCCUAGACCGCAGAAUGCCACAGAGAUACGGAGUUUUCUGGGUUUGGCAGGUUACUACAGGCGGUUUGUGAAGGGCUUUGCCAGUAAAGCUCAGGCAAUGACCAAGCUGACGGGUAAGGAUGUUCCUUUCGUGUGAACUCCUGAGUGUGAGCNNNNNNNNNNNNNNNNNNNNNNNNNNNNNNNNNNNNNNNNNNNNNNNNNNNNNNNNNNNNNNNNNNNNNNNNNNNNNNNNNNNNNNNNNNNNNNNNNNNNNNNNNNNNNNNNNNNNNNNNNNNNNNNNNNNNNNNNNNNNNNNNNNNNNNNNNNNNNNNNNNNNNNNNNNNNNNNNNNNNNNNNNNNNNNNNNNNNNNNNNNNNNNNNNNNNNNNNNNNNNNNNNNNNNNNNNNNNNNNNNNNNNNNNNNNNNNNNNNNNNNNNNNNNNNNNNNNNNNNNNNNNNNNNNNNNNNNNNNNNNNNNNNNNNNNNNNNNNNNNNNNNNNNNNNNNNNNNNNNNNNNNNNNNNNNNNNNNNNNNNNNNNNNNNNNNNNNNNNNNNNNNNNNNNNNNNNNNNNNNNNNNNNNNNNNNNNNNNNNNNNNNNNNNNNNNNNNNNNNNNNNNNNNNNNNNNNNNNNNNNNNNNNNNNNNGCACCUUGCGGUUGUGUGCUAUUUCUCAGGAGCCACUGGGGUUAGAAGCAGCUAACCGCGCAGACCUUCUGACCAGAGUUCGAGCGGCUCAGGAGAAGGAUGCAGGGCUGGUUAAUGCUUCUAAGGAUACUGAGUCAGAGUAUCAGGUUGCAGCCAAUGGGACUAUCCUUGUGCAUGGGCGAGUUUGUGUGCCCAAGGAUGAGGAGUUGAGACGUGAGAUCUUGAGUGAGGCUCAUGCGAGUAGGUUCUCUAUUCAUCCAGGAGCGACCAAGAUGUACCGAGAUCUGAAUCGGUAUUAUCAUUGGGUCGGGAUGAAGAGGGAUGUGGCUAAAUGGGUCUCUGAGUGCGAUGUAUAUCAGCUAGUGAAGGCUGAGCAUCAGGUGCCGAGUGGAUUAUUGCAGAGUCUCCCUAUUACAGAGUGGAAAUGGNNNNNNNNNNNNNNNNNNNNNNNNNNNNNNNNNNNNNNNNNNNNNNNNNNNNNNNNNNNNNNNNNNNNNNNNNNNNNNNNNNNNNNNNNNNNNNNNNNNNGACUAAGUCUGCACAUUUCUUGGCUAUCAAGAAAACCGAUGGAGCGGUAGUGCUAGCUAAGAAGUAUGUGCAGGAGAUUGUGAAACUUCAUGGAGUACCGGCCAGUAUUGUGUCAGACCGGGAUUCGAAGUUCACUUCGGCGUUCUGGAAGGCUUUCCAGAAGGAGAUGGGUACUAAGGUGCAUUUGAGCACGGCUUACCACCCUCAGACAGACGGGCAGUUUGAGCGGACCAUUCAGACACUUGAGGAUCUGUUGAGGAUGUGUGUGUUGGACUGGGGUGGUCAGUGGGCAGAUCACUUGAGCUUGGUGGAGUUUGCUUAUAAUAAUAGCUACCAGGCGAGUAUUGGGAUGGCUACUUAUGAGGCGUUGUAUGGGAGGCCAUGUCGGACACCUCUAUGCUGGACUCAAGUGGGGGAGAGGAGCAUUUAUGGUGCGGAUUUUGUUCAGGAGACUUCAGAGAAGAUUCGGAUUCUGAAGCUGAACAUGAGAGAGGCGCAGGAUCGGUACAAGUGUUAUGCUGAUAAGAGGCGUAAAGAGUUGGAGUUUGAGGUUGGAGAUAUGGUGUAUCUCAAGAUGGCGAUGUUGCGUGGUCCUAACAGGUCCCUUACCGAGACUAAGCUGAGUCCGAGGUUUAUGGGUCCUUUCAGGAUUGUGGAGCGGGUUGGACCGGUGGCUUAUCGGUUGGAGUUACCUGAGGUAAUGCAUGCAUUUCAUAAGGUAUUCCACGUGUCGAUGCUGAGGAAGUGUCUUCACAAGGAUGAUGAGGUGUUGGCUACGAUCCCGGCGGAUCUUCAGCCUAGCAUGACCUUGUAGGCGAGGCCAGUGAGGGUUCUCGAGAGGCGGGUAAAGGAACUUCGGCGUAAGAAGAUUCCUUUGAUGAGAGUCCAGUGGGACUGUGAUUGAGUCUUGGAGGAGACGUGGGAGCCAGUGGCCAGGAUGAAGGCAAGGUUCCGGAAGUGGUUUGACAAGCAGGUCGAGGAGUAGACCGUUGGCUUUUUUGGUUUUUGAGUUUGGUUUUGGUUGUAUCUCUUUUGUAUUCUCAUUUUUUUGGUGUAAUGAUUAUGACAUUGGAGAUUAAUAAGAUGAGUAUUUCUUGGAUUUGACUUGUUGUGUCAUGUGUAAGAGAAAUAUGUGCGAGUUUCUAAAAAUAGAAAGUGUCGGGUUUGACGGUUCUAUUUUUGGAAAGUCUCGGGGUGGUAGUUAGUAGUGGACCACGGGAGGUAUAUCUGAUCGAGAGAUAUGCUCGGGGGCGUUUAGACUUAUUUGCUCGUAUAUGAUGUGAUGGCCUCGGAUGACGAUUCGAGUGCACGCUUGAGGGUGACGACCCGAGAGCGAGCGUGUGACUUCCCGGAUACCGUAGCUAGAAGGCGGGUGGCCUAAUAGUGAGCCGGUAUGACUUGAGGGUUGCGACCUGAGAGCGGGGGAAGUGGUGAGGCUUCCUGGAUACCGUAGUCUAAGGCUGAGGCCUGAGGACGAGCCGGUAUGAUCCACGGGUUGCGACCUAUGGACGGGGGAGGUGGGUGUGUAUGAGCAAAUAGGGUCUGGAACGCGAGUAUAUUGAUUAGAUAGGGGCCUCGGUGAGGUCAGUUGUGUACUGACGGUUGUGUUGGAGGAUUCGGGGACGAAUCCUAGUUAGUGGGGGAGAAUUGUAACGCCCGUGUCUGCAAAUACGGGUGGUGUCGAUCGACACUGUGGUUGGGUGUCGAUCGACACUAGUAUUUCUGGUUUGACGGUUUAAGUUUUAAAUCGUCGGUUCAAUUGAGGCUUGGUUUGGGUUGGUUAACCCUAGGUCGUGUUUAAAAGAGGGAAGGUCGUGUGUUGUCUCUUCCAGAGAGAGAAAAAGGUUCUAGAGCUUUUGAGGGUUUUUGUGAGUCUUUGGUGGUGCUUGGUGGUGUUCCUGGUGGUUUAAGGCUAGUAGAGGCUAGAUCAGUGUUGUGUGGUGUUAGAGGAGACAGAUCCUUCCUUGUUCUUCCUUGUUUUCGUUGCUGUUCUUCUUGUUAAAGAGGUGAGUGCAUGACCAGGCUUAUCUAAGCAUGUUUGAUCAUUGUUUCAGGGUUUUGAUGAUUGAUUGAUUGAUUUCCUUUGCUUGUUUAGCUGUUUAUUUGAUGAUUGAUGCCUGUGGAAUCCUUUGGAGACUCGUUCUUAUCGUGGUGGUCUUUUGGAGAAGAGAUCCAGUGAGAAAAGCAGUUGGAGCGUCUGCUGAGAGUCGGUGUCGAUCGACACCAAGGGUGGGUGUCGCUCGACACCAACAUUUCAUCGCGCGAGGAUAACUGCGUCUUACGAUUGGAGUGUCGAGACCGGUGUCGUCCGCGAGGGUCGACAGCGAGUGUCGAUCGACACCGAUAGUCAGAAGCGAUUCUGGUCUAUCUUUUAUUGGUUGUUUAGUUCUUUUCCUUGGAUUUUGGUUGAAUGUGCUUGUGUGUAUAGCCAGUGGUGGUAUGAUUGCCUCACUAAGUAUUUAUGAAAUACUUAUGCAUCUCUUUCUUUAAUGCAGGUAAAAGCAAAGUGUGAUCCGUGUAAUCAUGGCGAGGAGAGGAGGAUGAUAUAGGCGCUCAUUGGUGUUUAGAUGAUUGUAGGAUUUGUUAGGAUGCUAGAAUGGAAUUUAGAAGCAUGUUAGGAUGAAUUCGUUUCUGGAAUAUUGAUAGUUGAACUUGUUGGAUUAAUGAAAUGGUUUGAUUGGAUUUUUGUUUAAGUCUUCCGCUGGUUACGUUGAGUUGGUUGUGUUAGUAAAAUUGUCUGGGUUGCUUUAAAGGGGUUAAUCCGGAUUGUUUGCAUGUUUAAAACAAAAAAAAAAACGGGAUGGGUUCUUUCACUAUUAUCUUCGUAUCACCAACAGCAAGCUGAUGCUGAAAUUUAUUAACCAAAGACUCCUCAAUAGAUGCAUGGAUCCUUGUUCCCUUCGAUGGAGAAGAUAGUAUUAAACAAAAAGUUUGAUAUAUAUACACAAAUUCAUCAUAUAUUUAAUAACACAUGUACAAUGUAACUUAUUGAAUCACAAGAAUUAAAAUAGACGUGAAACUAACAUACCUCUGUAUCAAUUAGAACCAUCUCUAGAGUCUUAAAUGAUUUCCAAAUCCUCAUAACACGCACUUUGAUCUUGUAUUGAUCAUUGGCAGGAUUGAUUUCGCUAGCUAGAACAAAAGGAGAAAUUCUUAUUUUUUUAGAGUCCAUGAUGAAUUAAUAAUAGUUGUAAUUUUUAAGAACAUGGUUAUGCAUAUUUAUAGUUAAAUUAUCUAACAGUCGGUAAUAUUGAAUAGAUUAUGAUAAUAAUGGAUUAUUUACUUAGAUUUAAUUAUGAGUAAAAUUUAGAACAUGAUAAGUACGUAAAGAUUCUAAUAUCAUUGAAUUGGAUAUAGAAGUUUAAAAUUUAUCUUUUCCAAAUUCAUAUAAUAUUUCCUGAAUUUUCGUGGUGUUAUUGUUAUAUAUAUAAAUAUAUCAUCAUGUAUUUUUAAUUUUUUAAUCUCUUUAAAAAACAUAAAUAGUGUAAAAUUUAAAGUAUGUUUGUUAAAUUUCCAUUUGUUAUAAUUGAAUGAUUCCUCUUCUUGUCUAUUAUGAACCAUCUAAAAAAGAGAUUAAUUAACAGUUUACCUUAUUUAAAUAUUUUAAAAUAUGUAACUAAUAUGUCUGUUCUUUAUAAGAUAUUUUCAUGGGAAAGUUAACAUUUUAGAAUAAAAGGCUAAAUCUGUUAUGAAAUAUGAUAAGGGAUUAUGUCUACAAAGAUUUACAUACAAUUUUAUAUUACAAUAUCUUUAGUCUAGUAUUUUGAUAAGUAUAUAUAUAUAUAUAUAUAUAUAAAUUUUCAAACUUUAAUUUUGCAAAGAUUAAUAAUAACGAUGUUAUUUUAAUCAACUAUAUGCUUAAUAGUUUUACUAUUAAUCCGUAAAAUUUAAAUAAAUAUAGAUCAUCAUUGAAAACCUAGCAAACUUUAAUAAUCGACGCGCUGAUCAUUAGAUCAAAAAAAAAAAAAACAAAGUCUGAAUUAAACUAUAUCAAACUUAAAAAUCUUCAUCUUCCAUAUCAGCAAAUGCAUCUCUCAGCUGCGUCACGUGCGGACACAAUGGAUUUAUCAUUACGCUCGUACAAUUAUGCACCGUUGAAGCUCUCCAUGUUUCUACAUUUGUUAUUAAGAUAUGUACAAAAAUUAGAUCCCCAUCUUUUUAUACAAUAUGUUAGAGCUAUCGUAAGUAAAGAUCUAGAAGUAGGAACAACCUUGGUUAAUCUCGAGUUUAGCAAACCUCAUUACACAUAUAAUGAUAUUGUCAAUCGAAUGUCUCCAAGCAUUAAAGAAAUCGUUCGCGUAUGAUGUCGCUAAACGACAUGGUAAUCGAUCACCCCUUGAUUAAUAUUGUAGAAGAUUAGAAGUUGCAAUAUACGAUAUUCAAUAUGUAAUAUGUAUAAGAUAAUUAGUCAACAUACUCAAGAUCUUCUAACUCAAAGAAUAUCUCGUUUCAGUCGUUGCCUGGAGGACCAUGUUGGUUACGAUUCCCUACAGCCAUUACUCGUCCAAUGAUAUCUACACAUAUAUAUAUAUAUAUAUAUAUAUAUAUAUAUAUAUAUCUAUAUUAUUAAGCCUCUGGAAAUAUAGAAUUAGACUAUGAAUAAGACAAUAUGGCAAUAUAGAUUAAAACGUACCAACACAGUAAGUAGGGUCAAGAUAUCCACUCUUGAUAUCACUAAAAGAUACGAAUGAAUAAAAAUAUUCAGAACUCAAAGAAGCAAUAUUCCUGAACCAUGUCGUCGAUCUCCAAUGUAUCAUAAAACGAUGAUCAGUUGGUCUAAAAGCACCAAUAACUCUGCUCAUUGAAAAUCCUGAAAUUAAUAUCCAAUUUCCCUCAUGAAGUCUUUGUGUAAAAACGUCUUCAAAUUCUUGACCCAUCACGGCAUGAAUUUUUUGACCCUAAAAUACAAACAAAUAAAUUAACUCGAUCUUGUAGCAAAUAUAAAAUAAAAGUAAUAUAAGAUCGUUAUCUAUUAGAAACCUAAAACAAAAAAGAAGUAGCGUAUAAACACAGAAUUCAAUACUCUAAUUCAGAAGCAUACCUUUCCAUCUACUAAAAUAAGAUCGAGUGAAUUGUAAGGAGGAGUAGUACACGUAAAUUUCCUCAGAAUCUUAACUUUUAUUUUCCACUCAUGUGUCAAUGGAUUCAAAGUAGACACAUCAAAGAAAUUAUCUUUUUUCCCUAUCUUUUUCUUGAUAGCAUUAGAAAGUAGGUUAGCCAUCUUAAUAUUUUGAAGUUUCUAAUGCAAACUCUUAUUCUGAAUAUUUCGAUAUAAAUAGAGUUCGGUAUGGUAAAAUAUAUGUAUAUUUUACAUUUAUUUACGUGUGAAAUAUUCUCAUCUAUAAUAGUUUUGUUAUAAAUAAUUUUUUAGAAUGAUAAUAAUUAUCAUACGAAAUUUAUUCAAAAGAUUUAUUAUUUCUUGGAUGAGAUAACAACACAUAUCUUACAUAAUGAUGAAACGGAAAAUACUUAACAAAUUUAAAUUACAGAAAUAGAUUAUUAUUCCUCAUCGGAGCUGUCAUCUUCAGGAUUGACCUCUGGUUGUUCACCCCUGUGUACAAUUAAAUUAGUAAGUAAUUAUUAAUAUUGCAUUUAAUUAUUACAUGUUUUACAAUAAACUACGAAAAAGGUAUUGUCAAAUGUUAAACUUACAACAAUGUCUCAAAGUUCAUUUCCAUGAACUCUAUAUUAAGGAAAAUUCUUGAACAGCCAUAUUGAGAAAUUAGAGAUGGGAUACCUAUGUAAAUCAUAGAAUAAUGAGUAGCUAAGUUUUAAAACAGACAGAAAAUUAUACACUAAACAUGUGAAAUAAUAUUAUAGACAAAGAUUUAAUAAUGUAAGAAUAUUAGUACUAACCUUCAUACACAGAGAUUCUCCAAAAACGCAAAACACACAUUAUAGAUUCCUCAGCAUCAUCAUCAUAAUCUAUAAGAAUUUGCUCUAAUUUGUUUUCAAAUUCUUUUGCGGAUUUUCCCACCGCAACACAGGUUAUUUCUUUUUGCCUAAUCAUAAAACUACAUGUCAGUCUAAUAUAAGUUUUUAUAAAAUCUCAAUAUAUAGGCAAUUCAAAAUAUGCUCACGUUUCAUCCGUAAGGGUGAAGGGCACUACAUUUUCGGUAUUAGAGUAGCCAUUUUGUUCGUCUAUAAAUGUUACUUCACGAAUCUGUGAAACAUUAGAGACAAUACCGCUAGCAUCUGUACACAAAGUAAGAAGAAAAUAUUUCAGAACAUUUCAAUUUAAUUUUUUUCGAUAUUGUAAAUGUAUUAAAUAUACAGACUAUAAGUACACAUACCUACACAAUACUUCCUAUCUUCCACAUGAGAAUUUUGAAGCUGCGUGCAUGUAACAAAGUUAAAAUAAGAACUCCUAUCCUUCUCUUCCACUUCGCGCAUUGUUGUUUGGUAGAUCGUCCUUAUUGUCAAGUGAUGGCGAGAAUUUUUAACUUGUAAAUUAUUCUCCAUAACUUGAAAGUUGGAAAGUAGAUACCACUUUUCCUCAACAAUGAGAUUAUGGAAUGGUGAUGCGUACCGAAUGUAUGGAAUUGUUGCAUCAAUCCUACAACCCUGUGUUAUAAAAGAAUAAAACAUUCAACGUUAGAAAAUAACUAUAAUCAGCAUAAUAAAGCUAAACGGAAAAUAUGUAUAACUUAUUCACCUGUUGAUCUACUAAUAUCAUGUUCUUCCUCUUCCCUUCCGAAUCAACCUUCGGCUUCCAGACAGCCAAAAGUUUAACAAAUACACUCCAGUUAGUAGAAUUCGUAGAGAUAUCAGCGAACAAAUGUUGUCCUGCCAUCUGCUUAAGAGAAUAAUAAUUUGUAGGCAAAGUUGAGAAUGAUAUUUGUUUAGCUCAGUCAUCUUCCUCGAAGGUGUUUAUAUAUAACGAAACCAGUAGAGUUAUUAGCCGUUUCAUUUCAACCUUUUCAUUAACUUACAAAUAAAUGAACGGUCAACAAAAUUAAAACACUAUUGAAUUACUCUAAAAUCUCAGCCUAUACUGACAUUGCUUUGAAUGACAUAUGCAUGUAUCUUUAACAUGUGAAUUCGCCUCACUUGUCAUUCCUAUAAACCAAUAUCAUAUUUUUUAAUAUGCUCGUUAUAAAUCAAUUUAUCUUUGCAAAAGGAGGAAAAGGUAAAGAUAAGGUUUUGAGAUCUUAUGUAGAUUUCAAUGUGUAAAUACAACAGUUUAUAGAUAUCGUUGGCACUUCACGGGACAAAUAAGAGGUAUUUAUAAUUGUCUAUAUCUAUUGAAAACUCCUAGAUCAUCCUUCGAUUUACUAUGUUGCAUGUGAACUUGUAAAACUCUUUCCUUUUAUAAAACAAUAGUACAUAGAGGAUGAUUUUGCUAUAAUCAAAAAGAGGCCAAUCAAUGAUAAAAGAAUUGCAUUAUUAAAUUUCAUGAGAUUAUUAUUCAGAUAACGUGUUUGCUCGUUUUAAAUUUUAAUUGUUAGAGAUGUUAUAAGAUUAACAUAUAAGAUUUGGUUUCACUUUUUUAAACUCCAUCGGUUCGAUGAAAGCAUAACUUACAUAGUAACUUCAUUGUACUUCUAUCCGUGUAUACCAUUUCGAUUUACUCAAUCAUAUUAUAUCAAACGCCAUGACAAAUGAAGCUAUCUAUAUUGAAAUCUCCAAGGUCACCAACUCGAUUUACUAUGCUGCAUGUGAUUCAUUAAAACCCUAUCCUCACAAACAACAACAGUCCAAACUGCCAGAUUUAUUGUUUCACGUGAAAGACUUACAUUAUUAGAUAGGAAUCAUAUCGAUUUGUGAAAAAAAUUAACAACUUUAUAUCAAAAACAUUUAAUAUAUUCGAAGCUGCGGUUUGGGGAAAAUUUCAUAAUUUUAAAUAGCAUAUAAAACGGAAAACAUGAUAUGAGAAAGACGUAUAAUUGAGUAUUUAAAAGAGAAGUCAUGAAGUGUAAAGAUUAAAACCAAACUGAAUUAUGAAAAACAUGAAAAACGAAUUUAGCGAUUCUCUUAAUCAUAGACGUUGUCUACUUAUGCGGGUAGACCUCCUUGGAUUCCUAAGAAAAUAAGAUAUGAAACAAAACUAUAUUAAUAACAUAACAAAGAUUAACUAUAAUUUUUGUUGAUGCAAAUACACUUACAUUACUACGAAGUUGUCCACCUCCGGAAUAUUUGGAUUGAGUCUUACUUGGGUACAAAUGGUGUUAGACACAGUUCUUUUUCCUAUAAUAAGAAUAACAUUUUUAAAAUAUAUUAAAUAACAAAUAUACUAUACUAUCAUAGAUAAAAUACGUUAUCUGAAUAAUAAUUUUAUGAAUACGUACCUUGAAAAACGUCUAUUACUCCCCAUCGAAUCACACAAAUGAGACUUUGGUUUUGCAAAACUUUGUAGGCCUUAUAGAAGUUAACGGCCGAUGAUCCAGUCAACUCACAUCCUAAAAUGACUCCACUAUAUUGGCAACAUCACAAAUAAUCAUUAGCAAUAUAUAGUCAUACCAAAUACAUUUAUAAUAAUGAUGAUAAAAGAACUAUAUUAAAUAUUUGCAUAGUUAGAAACAAAAAACCUGGUGUUUCGAAGUUCAAAAGAAAUCUUAUGAUGUUCAGAAUAAUCUUUUUUGUUAUCAACCUCUUCGUCGACAUUUUGAUUAUCAAUAUCGUCUUCUUCUUAGUCGACAUCUUCAUUAGAUUGACUCCCAUUAUAUUCCUCCUCAUCAUAAGUUUCUUCUUGUGUAUCAUUAUAACCAAUAUCUUCUUCGUCACUACCGCUAUCAUCAUAUCCUUCAGUUUCGGUUUCUGUUUCAUCGUCUUCAUGAUCUUCUUCUUCAGAACUACUACUUUCGCCGUAUCCAUCACUCCCAUAUUCACUAUCUUCCGUAUCCAUAAUCUCAUAAAAACCUUCAUCUUCAACAUCCUCCUCUUCUUCAGAUUGCUCAUAGUCCUCAUCCAUUGCAUCUCCUUCAUCGUCAAUAUGAUCAGUGUAAAUACUAUCAUCGUCAGAAUCUUCGAAUUCAUAAUCAUUAUGACGACGAACCUUGGAAGUACAUCCAUUGUUGGAAAGUCCAUCUCGGCAAAUAAACUUGAAGAGAUGUUGAAUAUGAACGGAUCUUGAUCUAGACACAGAUUGGACGAUUUUUUUCUGCUCACUAUCGUUGUUUACAUGGUCCCAAGUAUCAAACUUUCCUACGUAAAUAACUUCUCCAAUGAUAUCUAAUAAAUUAAAAAAAUAUAUAUAAUUAUUAUAAAUAUAAACCCUAAUGUAAAAUAACAUAGGAAAGAGACAGAAACCAUAGUUUCACUUAAUCUUAAAACACAUCAUUAUAAUAACUUACCGACCACGUAAUCAUCACAAUGAGUACCAUCCAAUAUAUGUUUAUAAUCGAUAAAUUCAAAGUACUCUCCACCUGCAAUAAUCGUAGCCUUCUUAAUCAUGGUUUGACACAAAAUAAUAACUUUGUAUCGAUGAGUAGUGGUUUUGCAAGACCCAUAUUGAUCCACCACUUUGAAGUUUUCGAUUUCAAGCCAAUCACCAACAGCAUAUUUUGAAAUAAAUCUAUCAUAAAGAAUGCCACGGAAGGAACACUGAACCUUUUCACCCUACAAAAAUUGUUAGAUACUGGUUAAGUAAGAUUAUGGUAUCAAUUCGUAAUAUUUAUGAAUAUGUAAUUUAUUAAAUUAAAUUUUAAAUCGCAUGUUAUUCAAACAGCUAUCAAACCUGAAUAUCAACUAAAACCAUCUCCAAACUUGGUCCAAGUUUCAAAAAAUUAUCCUCCCAUAAACACAACACUUUAACCUGAAUUCUCCAGCCAUAUUUCGAAGGAUUCAAACGUGAUACACCAUCAACAGCAUGAAUGUUCACCAUAAUGAAACCUGAAUAAGAAUAGAAACAAAUCUAUUUAGGUAUUGAAAAUACUAACUGAAUUAAUUUUUUUAUUAAAAACUGAGUAAUGAAAACAAAAUAAAAACCUAAUUAAUCGUUGGAGCUAUGAAAACUUGAACAAUGAAUGGUCAUAUAUAUAUAAACAAAAAUAAUCGUUUAAUAUAUGUAUAAUUAUCAAUAUGAAUAAUGUCCUUUAUUAAUAUGAACAUUUAUCUUUAACUUAUAUAAAUCUUUUACUUUUUAUAAUCUGAUCGACUUACAAUUAACAUUAUAAAUAUGUAAAAUUUAUAAUUAUCUUAAUGUAAAUUUUUUUAAAAAAUACGAUUAGGAAAAUCUGAGACAGUGUAUAAAUAAAAAAGCAAAUAUAUAGUAUAUAUAAUAGGCAAUAUUGUGAAUUACCCUAUAUUGAACCACUAAUUACUAACAUAUUUAUCGUUUUAUAUAUUGUUAUAUAACCUUAUAAAUUUCUGGUAUAUAUCGGAUAUGUAUUUCAAUCAUAUAUUUAAUAACUUGGAUAUAUACAAUAUAUUUUGUAGAUAUUCACUAACUUGAAUAGAUACAAUAUAAACAAAUGAUUUUUUUUUUUGGAUUAACUUAUAUAAGCUAAUCAAGAUAUUUAUCUCUAUCCUUUUCAGAUUUAAUAAUUAUACCUUAAUAUUUUUAUCCAACGUUAAAAUUAAUUAGUUUUAAACAUAUGUUUAUUUUUUAAGUUACACACUUAUUGCAUAUCAAGAAGAUGUAAUAAAGAUUUCUUAAAUAUUUUUCAACUAUAUUAUCAAACAGUUUGAUAUAAACAUCUCAGUAAUUAUCACUUGUUUAUCAAAAGUGAAUAAUAAUAUGCAAGUUUCGAAAUAAUAAUUCAGAAAUUACUCGUUAUAAAUUUCUUUAACAAUAUCAGAAUAUUAAAUUCUUGAGUAUAGGGUUUGCUAAUGAUGUCUAAACUUGAAACUUAAUUUAAUUAGUAAUAAAAAAGGGUAAAAAAAAAAACAAAAACAUUAUUUUUACCUAAUAAAUCUAAGAUACAUCAUAAAACCUAAAAAUACAAUUAUAAGGAUGAACAAAACUUUUUGGAUUCGUGGCUUUCUUCUUUUUUUUUGGAAACCCUUGCUUCCACCUAUUUUCUUUAGUAAUCCAAAAAAACACCCNNNNNNNNNNNNNNNNNNNNNNNNNNNNNNNNNNNNNNNNNNNNNNNNNNNNNNNNNNNNNNNNNNNNNNNNNNNNNNNNNNNNNNNNNNNNNNNNNNNNCUCAUAUUUGUAUAGCUUUGCUUCAACAUCUAUUGAAUUGGCUUCCAUCCAACUUUGAAAUUUAGAUCCACGAUUUGUAGCUAGCAAUGUAGAAUCUUCUUUGAUAUCCUCUAUAAAAAAAUAAUAUUUUCAAAAACUAAAUUAGAAAUCCUGCUGAAGAAUCAAUAUAUAAAUUAAACCCUAAAUAAUAUACCUAACCCAAAAAAUGAUGUAACCAUAGACAACAAUGUAUAAUUAAUUGACAUUGCAUCACAAACAACAACUACACGAUAUAGAAAACAGUAAUUAGAGUAAGAUAAACAAAAAGAAGAACAAAGAUGAGAAUAAUAUAUAAAUUAAACCGAAAAUAAUAUAUCUAAUCCAAAAGGUGAUGUAACCAUAGACAAAAGUGUAGUAUUACUUGACAUUAUAUCCCAAACAACCACUACACGAUAAAGAAAACAGUAAGUAGAGGACGAUGAACAAAAAUAAGAACAAAGAUCAGUACCAAAAUAUAAUUCCGCGAACAUGAUAUAAAAGUUUAGGUUUAGUUUUUUUGUUUUAGUUAUGGGGAGACCAUUGAAACUCUAAUAUUUAUAGUAGCAGACUUUUUUUUUUUCCUAGGGUUUCAAUUUGAUACGGUUUUUUUUAACGGGCUUUUGGAAUAAGCCCGUCUCAUCUAAACCCUAAACCUAAAACACUCUAUAUCGUUUUUUUAAACUAAUUUCGGUUAGGGUUUUAAAAUUUCUAAUCUUGAUUGUUAGGUUUUGAUUUAAAAAGAACUAACUAAAACUUUUAAUCAGGGGUAUUUUUUCAUUAAGGGUAAAACGGUAACCCGGUCUCAACUUAAUUUUCGUUUUUGUCNNNNNNNNNNNNNNNNNNNNNNNNNNNNNNNNNNNNNNNNNNNNNNNNNNNNNNNNNNNNNNNNNNNNNNNNNNNNNNNNNNNNNNNNNNNNNNNNNNNNCAAAUUGCCGGAUUUUUUUUUUUUUUUAAUUAACUAAGGAUUAAGGAAAAGAUUACAACUAAGGGUAUUUUUCAUUAAGGGUAACUUAGUAAUAUUUUUGUGAGAUUGAAUGUGAGCACUUUCGACUACUGCUUUAAUAAUAUAGAUUUUAAAAGUUUUAUAUAUAUGAACCUUUUAUUUAUAAUAUUUUGAAACUAUUUGAAAUUUUAAAUAUGCUCAUGUAACAAUGGUUUUAAUAUUGGUCAUACUUAUAAUGAUUUUAAACCGUUGUCCAAAAUAUUUAACCGAGUGUAGUUGAGUAUUAUAUGUCCGUUUUGAAAAAUUCAAAUUGCAACAUAUGCAAAAAAAGUUAAAUUUUUAUUAAAUAUUUAUAUUAUAUAGUAUAAUAUCAUAAAUUAAAAAUAAUAUCAAACAAAAGUGAAAGAAGAAUAAUAUUUUUUAAAUAGAUUGUAUUAAAUUAGUUAGAUAUAACUAAUUUAAAUGAUAUCAACCAUAAUAGAAAUUGUUGAAUUGGAAAACCUAUUAUAAACAUGAUUAACCAAAGAAAAAUCUAUUGUAUUUAAAUUAGUUAUCAACCAUAACUGUAUAAAUCAUUUUUAACUAAUUUACUAUAAAUAUUUGAAUCAUAUAAAUACCUUUAUUUCAUAUUAUAAAUAAACAUGAUUUGAUAUGGUAAGAAAAUAUACAAUUUUGUUUAUAAUAUUAUCUAUAUCAUGAUCAUCAAAUAAUAGAAAUUGUUGAAUUGGAAAACCAAAGUUUAUAAUGAGAAAGUCUUAAAGAUGGUAUUUAAAAGAAAUGUAACCAAAGUCAUACUUGCAGAAAAUGAAAAGAAAAAAUUUAAAGGUUCUUGAACACUUCAUUGAAGACCAGAUUGGUUGUCAUUAGUUUCUGCCAUUUUUUUGAUAGAAAAAAUGUGUUUAUCGCUAAUAAUCUUUUGGGAGGAUUAUACACCAUCAAUAGAUUCUUCUCUUAUUUAUAUUAAUACUAACGGAACUUAGAAUAUUCUUGAUAUUUUUUAUUUUCAUAUAUUUAGUUGUUAAUGUUUGAUAUAGUUUUGAAUUUCAAAAUUGUUAGGUAUGAUUUUUGGGUUUAGGAAACAAAAUUAAUCGUGAUUUGAUGAAUCAAAACUAAUGAAUAAAUUUUUUGCUAUAUAUUAGGAAUGUAUUUUUAUGAGUGAUUAUAUUAUUUAAUCAUCUCUAGCAAAAUAUUCGUUGAUGAUGACUUAUUAAAUUUUAUGAGUUUAAUUUAUUUAUAUAAUUGUUUCUAUAAUUAAGGGAUUUGAAGUAAUGAACAAAUUGUUUGCUAUAUUUUAGCAUAACACUAAAAUUUCCAUCGAUGCUGGUUCAUCUAAUUUUAUGAGUUUAUUUUUUUAUAUAAUUGUUUCUAUAAUUUAGGGAUUCGAAAUAAUUCAUAAACUGUUUAAAUUUAGCUAUGAAUGUUUAUUAUGGUUUUGAAUUUCGAAAUUAUUAGGUAUGAUUUUUUGGUUUAGGAAACAAAAUUAAUCGUGAUUUGAUGAACCUAAACUAAUGAAUAAAUUGUUUCCUAUAUAUUAGGAAUUUAUUUUUAAGAGUGAUUAUAUUAUUUAAUCACAUUUUAAAAUUUUCGUUUUUAAUCUACUAAUUAAAUUUUAUGAGUUUAAUUUAUUUAUAUAAUUGUUUCUAUAAUUAAGGGAUUUGAAGUAAUGAACAAAUUGUUUGCUAUAUUUUAGCAUAACACCAAAAUUUUCAUCGAUGCUGGUUCAUUUAAUUUUAUGAGUUUAUUUAUUUUAUUGUUUCUAUAAUUUAGGGAUUAGAAGUAAUGAAUAAAUUGUUUAAAUUUAGUUAUUAAUUUUUAUUAUAGUUUUGAAUUUCGAAAUUGUUAGGUAUGAUUUUUUGGUUUAGGAAACAAAAUUAAUCGUAAUUUGAUGAAUCUAAACUAAUGAAUAAAUUGUUUGCUAUAUAUUAGGAAUGUAUUUUUAAGAGUGAUUAUAUUAUUUAUUAAACCCAAAAUUUCGUGAAUGAAGGUUCAUUUAAUUUUAUGAUUUUCUAAAAUUGUUUCUAUCUAAAAUUGUUUGCUAUAAUUUAGCUAAAUUUGUUUCUAUUAUUUUGGUUAUGUAGUUUUCUUAAAAAUAGAUUGAUUUUGUUUUACCUUUUUUUAUUGUAUAAACUAUGAUUGACUUAUACAAAAUGCUUCCAUUUUAAUAGUAUAGAUACUAAUAACCAAAAUCAAAACAAAGAGAACAACAACAACAGAGAAGUAGAACUUAAUAGCCCACCAAGAACAAGCAUACCUUCUCCUAUCAAAAGGUCUGAAAAAUCAUAUAAGAAUUCUAUAUGUGGUCGAGAAGACAGAGAGAACCGAGAUUCAGUUCUGUAUGUUGCAAACAUGUAAUAAUAAUUCUAUAUGUGGUCGAGAAGCAACAUGAGCUAUUAAAUAAAACAGAUGCCAAACUCGCAAAUCAGAUCAGUAUACCUCGGUUAUAAAUGUAGUAAUGCUGAUGGUACAUGAUCCUUCUCCUUUUUGAUAAUUGUGAGGAAGUCCUCUUGAUCAAAUCUUCAUGAACUAUAGAGAACAUCAAUGACCUGCAAAGACAAUGUUUAUAUACUAAUAACUAAAAUCAAAACUAAGAGAACAACAACAACAGCAGAGAAGUAGAAACUAAUAGCUCACCAAGAACAAGCAUACCUUCUCCUAUCAAAAGGUCUGAAAAACCAAUGGAUUUGUAAUAUAUAGUUAAGCAAAAGAGGAAUUCUAACACAGGAAUACACAAAAAAUCAUAUAAGAAUACUCAUUACAAAACCGAAGAGAGGAAUACUAACCAAAUACGUGAAUCAUAAGUCCAACAUUGGCUUCCAUCAAUCGUAUAUACAUCAUACACUUAUCCUAAAAACACUCUUACAUAACACCAGCUCUUUUCGGGUUUCGGCAAAGGUUAAUAACUCUUUCUUGCUAGGGUUCCAAACUACAGGGGCUCCUGGUACUUGAAAACAGAUCAAGCCAUGGACAGAUUCAGUAGGGGGCAAGUAACAUAACCAAGUACAAAUCUUCAUUAUCUAACACUGAAUACAAAAAACCAUAUAAGACGACAUACAGAGUAAGACAGAGAACCACAAAUACUUUGUUCAAAACAAAGAGAUGAAUAAUAUAUAUAAUACGUGACUCACAAGGCUAUAACAUGUUUGAUGAUGAACUAAAAAUUACACAAAAUGGCUUGCAUUUGCAUCAGCCAUCAAUCAAAUCGUAGAUGCAUAUACACCCUAUGAGAUUCAGUUCUGUAUGAGGUCGAGAAGCAACAUGAGCUCAGUAGUAAUAAAAUAAAACAAUGCCAAUGGAAACUCGCAAAUCAGAUCAGUAUACCUCAGGUUAUGAAUGUAGUAAUGCUGAUGCUACAUGAUCCUACUUGAUCAAAUCUUCAUGAACUAUAGAGAACAUCAAUGACCUGCAAAGAAGAGAACAACAACAGAGAACAACAUCAAAGACAAUAUAUAUAUACUAAUAACACUAAAAUCAAAACAAAGAGAACAACAACAACAGAAAAGUAGAAACUAAUAGCUCACCAAGAACAAACAAACCUCCUCCUAUCAAAAGGUCUACAGACCAUGUCUCAAGGACUACUAACCAAACACGUGAAUCAUAAGACCAACAUUGGCUUCCAUCAAUAAUCGUAUAUUCAUAUACACUUAUGAGAUUCAAUGAAGACACAAAUCGAAUAAAAUCAAUUGCUACAUAAUAAACUCCUAAAAAUUGGAUAAAAGUUCUCAACUUGUAAGACACAAGACAUCAACAACAAGACCAUAUCCAGCACACAGAGGAACAAGAAUAGAUAGAGCGUUACCUUGAAGGGAAAAAAGGAAGCAAGAAGAAGAUUCCAACACGAACCAGAAGAAGAGGAACCAAAAGCCUCGAUCAUCAUGUCUCAAGCCUCAGCAUUCUAUGAUCGCCAUGUUUGCAUAUCUUGAUCAUCAAACCGAAUCACACUACAACAAAUCAACCAGAGAAAAUCUAUAAAGGUAGAAGCUUUACACCAACGAUGAAUCAGAGAAUCGAAGGCGAUGAGGGUUAUGCUUUGUUGUUCGACAAGAGAGAACGAACUAAGGAGAUUGAUUUGUAGGGUUUCGAAGAAAAAGAAGAAGAAGAAGAAGAAACAACGGAGAAGAAGAAGUGAGAAACAGAGAAGAAGCGUUGAGUUGAGAGAAACAGAGAAUUUUGAUUUCUCGAUCAAAACGGAAAAACGGAGAAGAAGCGUUGAGUUGAGAAAAUUAAAGAGUAAAUUUUUAAUAUUUAUAAGCAAAAUUAAUUAAAAGAAAAGGAAAUUGAUAAUAUCACAAUCACAACGGUUAUAUUAUUAUGAGUUUAAGGAAAUCAAUACUAAGAUUUUGUUUCUGUUAAUUUUUUUCAUCACAACGGUAACAACUUAUUAACUUCAAUUUGUAGAACAUUUUGAACCUUGUUAAUUUUAAAAGAGAAUUUAGCGAAAAAGAUAUAUGUUUAAACUUUGAACUGUCAUUUUAUACUAUUAAUUCACUGAAAAUUACUAUAACUAUUUUAUUGACCUAUUCUUAUUUUUCAUAUUUUUUCUUCAUUAAUAUAUAGUGUUUCGUAUUUCUAUAUAGUAAAUCUUUCGUAUUUCUUUUUCAUUAACAUAUAGUGUUUCGUAUUUCUAUAUAUUAGUGAAGAAAAAAUACGAAACACUAUAUAUUAAUGCGUUGUUCACGACAGCAAGGCUUCAUUAAUAUUAAUGAUCAUUCGACAGUAGUGUUUCAUAUUAAUAUAUAGUGUUUUGUAUAUAUAGUGUUUCGAAUAUAUAGUGAAAACCUAUAGUGAAAAAGCACUAUAUAUGUUCCGUAUUUCUAUUUCGUAUUUUUUCUUCAUUAAUAUAUAAUGUUUCGUAUUUCUAUAUAUUAAAACUUUCGUAUUUCUAUAAUAUUAGUGAAGAAGACAUACGAAACACUAUAUAUUAAUGCGUUGUUCAUUUUUAACAAUUAAGUGUUAAUGGCCUAGUGGUUAUGUAGUUAGUAUAGAAGUGGUUGGUCAAAGGUUCGAGCCUUGCUGUUGUGAAUAUUUUUAAUUACUAUCUAAGCUACCAAAACGACGUCGUUUUACCACAUGGAAUCCAGUUAACAGUGUUACGCAUAACACGUUUUUGCAUUAUUCAGCACGAAAUGAAAUCUGCAGGUACUAAAUUCAAAUUUACAUAAGCUCAGGUAUGAUAUAGCACAACGACAAGUCAACUGUAUGAAAUUAACAUACAUAAAUAGUUGAGGUACGAAAAAUCCCAUUUUCCUAGCGCAGACCAUUCAAAGUCACUAUAUACAGUAAAACCUCUAUAAAUUAAUACUCGAUAAAUUAAUAAUCUCUAUAAAUUGAUAAAUUUCUCCGUACUUGGGACCAGUGUAAUUUUAGACACAUUUCGAUAUAAUAAGAUAAUAAUUUUUCUGAAAAUCCUUUGUAAAUAUAUGGUCCCAUCAAUAUUAUAAAUUAAUAAUUAGGUAAAAUUUUCAAAGUAUAUAUAUAUAUAUAUAGACACAUUAUUUUUUGUUAGAGUUUAUUUAUAGUAUUUUACUAUAUAAAAAUUGUUAGAAUUUUCUUUCAAGACAUAAUAAUAAUUAUUUUCUUUGUUAAUGAUUAUAUAAAAUACUUAUUAUCAUGAUUAAAUUUUAUUUUAAAAUAUUUUUUUGAAAAAACUUUCCAAAUUAGGAAAAGCUCUCUAUAAUUAUUAAUUUAUCGAUAAAUUAAAACCUCUAUAAAUUAAUAGAUUUUCAUGGUCCCAACAUUAUUAAUUUAUAGAGGUUUUUCUGUAUUCUGCUAAUUCUUUGUGGUAACACUUAUCUAAUAUAUUAAAAGAGUAGUCAGCAGGUUCACGUUCGCUCUAAAAAACAGAUUACCUCUUUACCCUUAAUGAAAAAAAAAUUUCGUCUCCAAAAAGCCGACUUUUAUGUUUAAGAUCGAAAACUUUUUAAGCCGGCUUUGUUGGUUUAAACCGAUUUUUUAAAAUUUUGCAGUUUUCGAUUUUAAACCAAACGUAAAAAAAUCUGUCGAAAAUACAACUCCUUACUUCAAACCCUACCGUUUGUAUUCAGCCUCCAUAAUUCCCAUAGAGAGAAAAACGAUUAGCUUAGCUUCUAUCAUAAUUAAAAAAUAUAUAUUUUAAUACUAUUCUUUGUGUUUCAUGUUAUUCAUCAUCAUAUAAUUUUCUUCAAUGUUUGUGUAGUGCUUAUUUAGAAAGCAAUAUAAACAAUUCCUACAUCUUUGUCUAACCUUACUUCACCUUUUGAAUCAGUUAUAUUCUCUAAGUUUAUUUGUUUUAUUUUGGGAAUUUAAUGAAAAAACCCCUCAACAUUGGUGAGAUCAAUUUUUAAACCCUCAACUAUUUUUUUAGUAAAUAAAAUCCUGAACUAAAAACAUUAACAAAUUUAACCCUCCACCUAUAAAAAACCUAAACACCCAUAAUAAUCUCUUCUACGCAAUCAACGUUUGUUUAACUGAAACAAAAAAAGACUAAGCAUUAGUUUUUAAAUACAAAAAUUAACAACAAACCUUCUCUUACGAACCUUUGUUUUCCAUAAACGUUCACACGUCGAUAAUAGAUCGCCAAAAAAACUCUCAAAUCGUGACAUCCUAAAACCUCAAAAUUCCAAAUGUUGAACGGUUAGUGAAAAAGAAACUAAAGUAGGUUGAAUAGGCGAUUGACACAGAGUUAAUCGAGGGUGAGACGCAUAAUUAAAUUUAUUGAUGGAUGACAUUAACUCAUCGAGUCUCCAUUAUAGAGUGAGGUAUUGAGAGAACAUAUGUCUAUUUCAUCUGGUUUACAUUUAUUAUACAACGGUCACCUUUCCUAAUUUCAACAUUUUUAACCUUGUUAAUUUAUAAAAGAAAAUUUAGCGAAAAAGAUAAAUUUUAAAACGGUUGUCAGUUAUACUAUUAAUUAGAAAAAUCCUAAAACUGUUUUAUUGACAUAUUCUUGAGGAGUUAGUUUACUAAUUGUUUUAUGGAAAAAAAAAAUUGUAAAUUAUCAACUUUUAAUAAUGAAAGAAAAUAUUGUGGUUUUGUAGACUUAUUUUGCAUAUUUUAUACCAGAAUAGAAAUAUCGACACCAGCAGAAAAAAGUUAUACAAAGAGUGACGAAUGGCACAGAGUUAUCAGCGUACCGGGUUUGCUGAUAUUGAUUAUUUGUAAGUUUUUAUUUAAUCUCUUUAUUUAAUUCGAUAUAUUAUUUGAUAUUUGUAAUUUUUAAUUUAUAUAAAUAUUCAAGUUUUUGUAAAGUAUAAUAAAAGAUUAAUUAUUAUAAUUUUAUUUUACCAAAAUCAUAGAAAAACAGGAUCCAAAGAAGCAGUUUUUGAGAAACUAAAUAUAAAAAGAGUAAGAGCAACAAAAGAGGUUUGGUACCUUGUGGAAAUUAAACACCAAAUCUAACUCUGUGUUUAAAAAGGCGACGCGCCUAGGCUCGAGGCGAGGUAUGGCUGGGGGUAAGCGCCUCAAACAGCUGAGGCAGGCUAUGACCCAAAGGCUCUCUCUCUGGUGCGCCUUGACGUCUGAUGCGCCUUGCCUUGCUCUGCGCGUGCAAAUAUAAAAGGUAAAUUGCACUCUUCCACGAUAUUUUCUUACUCUAUCUAAACUCAAUAUUCUGUUAUACAAAAUAUUUCCAAAAUUAUUCUUAUUAUAAUUAAGAGAAAUUGAUACCAAUAACCUUUUUAUGAUACCCUCUUUUAAAAAUACCAUCUUUUUUUACCAUUUUCAUUUUUGCCCUCUCUUAAUUUUUAAUGGCUAUUUUACCCCUAUUUGAAAUAAUAUUCUUUCACAAAUGAAGGAAUAUUCCUUCCAAAAAUUUCCCCCCAAAAAUUUCCCGCCAAAAUUUUCCCGCCAAAAAAGUUUCCGAGAAAAAAUUUUCCCGCCAAAAAAUUUCCGCAAAAAUUUUCCCGCAAAAAAAAAAUAUUUUUUCAAAAUUUUCCCGCCAAAUUUUUUUAAAGGGUUUACAAGAUUUUUUAAAGGGUCUUUUAAAGGGUUUACAAGGGUUUUUAAAGGGAUAAACAAGAGUUUUUAAAUGGUUUUUAAAAGAUUUGUAAUGGUUUUUAAAGAGUUUGAGAAGCCUACAAAGGUUUUUAAAUGGUUUUUAAAUGAUUUACAAUGGUUUUUAAAAGUUUUAUAAGUUUAUAACAGUUUUAAAAGGAUUUACAAGAAUUUUUAAAGGAUUUUAAAAAUUUACAAGGAUUUUUAAAGGUUUUCUAAAAGGAUUUACAAGUGUUUUUAAAAGGAUUUAAAAGUAUAUUUAAAGGCAUACAAAGAUUUAAAAAUAGUUUUAAAGGAUUUACAAGAAGUUUUAAAGGGUUUUAGAAGUUUACAAAGGUUUUUGAAGGGUUUAAAAAAGUUUUUAAAGGUAUUACAAGUUCUUUAAAAUGGGUUUUAAGGAUUUACAAGGGUUUUUAACGGGUUUUAGAAGUUUACUAAAGUUUUUUUUAAAUGAUUUAUCAUGGUUAUAAGUGGUUUAAAGGGAUUUACAAGUGUUUAUAAAUGUUAUAAAAUGAUUUACAAUGGUUUUAAAAGGUUUACUCAAGUUUUGAAAGGUUUUGGAUGACUUUUAAAAGAUUUACAAGGGUUUUUACAGGAUUUUUUAAGAGAUUUAUAAAUAUUUACAAGGUUUUUUUAAGAAAUUGCGGAAAAAUUUUGGCGGGAAAAUUUUUUUGGCGGGAAAAUUUUUUGUCGGAAUUUUUUGGCGGGAAAAUUUGGCGGGAAAUUUUUCGGAAGGAAUAUUCUUUUUGUUGGAAAGAAUAUUCCUUUUUUCAUCAUAGGUUAUAAUAAACGAGGGUAAUUUAGUCAUUUUGUACAUUGAAGAGGGUAUUUUUGAAAAUGAACACCUAGAGAGGGUACUUGUAGAAAAGGGUAUCAUAAUAAAGGUUAGUUGUGCAAAUCUCUCUAUAAUUAAUUGUUUAAAAACCUAAAAAAUGAAGUAUAAACGUCUCUUCAGCCUCUUAGUCUCACGAUUCUUCUCUGUUACUCCUCUAGUCUACCUAUUCUCCUUUCAUCAUCUCAUCUCAUCAUGUCUGAUUUAGUUUCCACUAAGGAACUUGAUCCAGCUAGAAAACAUGCAACUCCUGUUGUUGGUAAGCAUGGUAGUUGGAUGUGUAACUACUGCAAAAAAGUAACAAGCGGUGGAGUACAGCGAGCUAAGCAGCAUAUUGUUGGUGGUUAUAGAAAUGUUACUGCAUGUACUAUUUUUUCAGAACAUGUGAGGGAGGAAGUCAGAGAUUUCAUGCAAAAAUAACUUGAAGCUAAAGUCACAACCCAAAUGAUGCCACCACCAGUCAGUGUAUGAUGAGAUUGAGGAAGAAGAAGAUGAAGGGCAGCCUAUUCAGCCACCUUCAAAAAAACGAAAGGGUCCAAUGGACAGGUAUGUUUGUCCAACUCCUCGUGAUAUCUUGAAAGGAAGACAAGAUAGGAAGGAAGUUUAUGGGAAAUCUGAUAAGGAACUUAGGGAUAGAGCAUGUGCAGAGAUUGCUAGGUGGUUUUAUGAUGCAAGCCUACAGUUUAAUGCGGUUACCUUUGAUAGUUUCAAGAAUUUUCUAGAGUUAGUUGGUCAAUAUGGUUCUGGCUUUAAGCCACCAACAAUGUAUGAGCUGCGGGUUCCUUUUCUGAAGAAGGAAGUAAAAGAGACUGAGAAACUGCUGGUCGAGCACAAAACUGAAUGGACAACUAAAGGUUGUUCAAUCAUGUCAGAUGGAUGGCGUGAUUCAGUUGUGCAAAAGGAUAUUAUUAAUUUCCUUGUUAAUUCGCCAAGGGGUUCAGUUUUCAUCAAAUCAGUUGAUGUUUCAACUGUCGUGAAAGAUGCCAAUUUCUUGUUUGAUCAGCUUGAUUGUAUGGUUGAAGAAGUUGGAGAAUCUAAUGUUGUCCAAGUGAUAACUGACAAUGCAUCAAACUACAUAAAAGCUGGUGAGUUUGUUAUAUUUUUUUGGACAAACUUUAAAAUUUCAUUGAAAGAAAAGGUUUAGCCUCCACCAACAGAGGAUACAACAAAGCUACAAAGAGCCCAAACAACCAAAACAACGACCAACAAGGAGAUCGGGUAGGAUGGUAAGUUCAAAUCAACAACAUUGCUCAUAAAGACACUUAUAGAUAAGGGUGAAUCACCGAAAGGAAACAGCGUCUCCUGAGUCAAACAGUCAACAAAAGUUGAACGGUAACCGUCUUGGACAACAAUCCUCGCUUCUGCAAGCAGAACAAUCUUGACAACCAUGCUCCCUAUAACAAUACCACUACACACAAGUGAAGUAUUUGGGAGGAUAAUAAGCUUCUGAAAGGAGAGAUGAGGACUAUAAAAGCCCCGGUGAACCAGAAAAUCUGGAACAAAGAAAGAGAGCAAAGAUCUCUUUUUAAACUGCCAUAAAACGGAUCCUAACAGAGCCACUUCAAGGUAGAGCCUGCAUAUUGCAGUAAAGGUUCGCACUAAGGCGAUAAGAGUGCCACAUGAGAGCACAAAUGUGGAUACAAUGGUAUCCAAAACCAUCAACGAUGUAGAAACUAAAUCCGAAUUCCACAAAACCAGAGCUACACUCUUACCAACCAUCCAGAAACUUCCAAAGGUAGAAGAAACAGGAAGCGAAGAAGAGGAGCAUACCUGGGGGAAUGGGAGAAGAGAUGUGUUGAUUGAGAAUGUCGAGCAAUCAACACUUCUGACAACCAGGCUGAGAAGACGGCGUCGCUUGAUGAGGUGAGGUGGCUGGUGGCAAGGCGUAUCAAGAGAUGGAGUUGUACAGCCCACAACCCAAUAAGAAAGUCUUACUCUUCUGGCCCAAUAAACCAUCAAUCAAAGUUUGGCCCAAUAAGCAUUUUCUCCAAUUGUGGCCCAACAAAGAAACUAGGGUUUCAGUGGUUGAGGAUGGUGGGAUGAGAAGCCAGCUAUGACGGCGGCUUAAACGAAGAGCGGCUAUGAACUAUGGACUCGAAUUCUGGCAAGGAAUAUCAGAUCUCGAGGGCGACAGAGAUAGGGGCAUGGAGCUGUGAAUUCGUCGAAGGCUGAUGGUGAGUUGCAGUGCAUGAGAUUCGUCCAAAGAGGAGUGGAUCUAAGGAUCUGGCGGGUCUGGUGGUUCAGGGGGAGGUUGUGGUGUCGAAGACUCAGGCGGUGGUGGAGGUGGUGCUGGAGGAGAUCUCAAACCAUGGAAAGGAACCGAAGACAACGGUAAACAACAAGAGAAGCUCGAAAACGGUGGAGAGAAGGGACUCAUAUCAAGAAGGAAACUCGCUGGACACCGCCACGUAACCGAAACAGAGGUCCACUUGAGAGAAUAACCCUUAGACAGAAUUGCAGAGUCAGAAAAAGAGAUCGAUGGUGGAAGAACGCCAGUGAAAAGAGCUCAUCUCGUCAAUCUUCAAGUCUUCUUGGUCUUCGUGCCUGGGAGAGUUCUUCAACGCGCGAAUGUAACAAUUGAGUUUGUUAAAUAUUUAGCUUUAUAAGGUUUUUUUUUGCUUCUUCUAAUUUGUGCAUAAUCUUAAACUGAUUUGUGUUUUCUAAUUCUUGUAGGCAAAUUACUAAUGGCGAAACGACCAUAUCUGUAUUGGCUUCCUUGUGCUGCCCACUGCAUAGAUCUCAUGUUGGAGGAUAUAGGAAAGAUUUCGUCGGUGAAGGCUGCAAUCACGAACUGCAUCUUCAUGAAUGGCUACAUCUACAGCCACACUUCUAUGGUGAAUAUGAUGCGGAAGUUCACAAACCAAGGAAACUUACAUAGACCAGCAGCAGUUACUCGGUUUGCUACAUCUUUCAUCACACUCUCGCAAUAUCACCGGCAGAGGAAGAACUUGAGGAGUUUUGUAACUUCUCAGGAAUGGAAUGAUUCCAAAUGGCCAAAGGACAUAGGAGCAAGGAACGUGAAAAAGUUCAUUAUGCAAGACAGGUUGUGGCAUCACGUGUUGUAUGCACUCAAGUUGACGGGACUUCUAGUUAAGGUGCUUCGGUUGGUCGACGGUGAGAAAAAACCAGCUAUGGGGUACAUCUAUGAAGCAACGGAUAGGGCUAGAUUCUAGCUCACAGACAUUGCUGAAGAAAUGGUCCAAAAUCUCCACAAACAAAUGGAUACUCUCCAGGUAAGCCAACUCAUUAUUGGUUAUAUCCACGCACACGGAGAAAAACAAUCCAGCAUAACGCUUGUAUAUCACCUUGUGUGUUCUAAAAUGAAAAUAAUUGCAGAACAGUUUUCUCCUUCUAGCUCACAGAACAAUAUUGGUUUCUUAAUCACAUUUUCAUGUCUCAUAAGACACAUAUCUACUUCUCUAUACAGAUAUUGAAUGAGUUGGGUUACUUCUACCUCAGCUUAUAACAACAUCUCAAACAACAACUAAUACCUCAACCAGAGAAACUUCGCAGAUUCGAAUUCGACAGAGCAAUGCUCCUAUAAUGUGCUAGUAUCAACAGCCCAUCUCAAACAACAACUAAUACCUCAACCAGAGAAACUUCGCAGAUUCGAAUUCGACAGAGCAAUGCUCCUAUACUGUGCUAGUAUCAACAGCCCUAAAUCUCAUAUACAAAACCUGAAUUAAGAAUCAUAUGCAUUCCUACAAUCUUGGUUCUUACUCACAUAAUUUUCAUGUCUCAUUAAGGUUUUUUCAAGUUCUCUAUAAAGAUCUUAAUACUAGAAAACUCAGCUCCAAUGCCUCAAUUGAAAAAAAAAAUUCAUAAUAUCUACAAAAGCAAUGAUUUUUUCAAGCAAAUCUACCAUAUAGUCUCUGGAGAACCCUAAUCUUUUAUGUUUAAGAUUGAAAACUUUUAAACCAAAAUCGGCUUGGUUGGGUUAAACCGAUCUUUCUAGAAUUUUAAGUUUUCGAUUUUGAACCAAACGUACGUAAAAAAGUCCGUCGAAAAUACAACUUCUUACUUGAAAUCCUACCGUUUGUGUUCAGCCUCCAUAACUCCAUAGAGAGAAAAACGAUUAGCUUAGCUUCUAUCAUGAUUAAAAAUUUAUAUUUGAAUACUAAUCUUUGUGUUCAUGUUAUUCAUCAUCGUAUAAUUUUUCUAUCAUGUUCGUGUAGUGCUUAUUUAGAAAGCAAGAUAAACAAUUCCUACAGCUUUGUCUAACCUUAUUUCACCUUUUGAAUCAGUUAUAUUCUCUAAGUUUAUUUGUUUUAUUUUCAUUGGAAUAACUUUCUAAGUAUUACGUUUGCUAAUUAUUGAACAUGAUCUUAUAAAAGUCGUUACGUUGGGCUUGGAAAACAUGAAAAUAUCCUGUAAACUUAAAAUAUCAUGUGGCGCCAAUAAAUAAUUAUAUAAGUACUGUAUGUAGCUUGGAAAACAUCAACAACUCACAUUGAAUAACACAAAUCAGUAUGAAAGAGUUCGAUGUUAGGUCCGAUUUGUUUUCAACAUAUUUAAACUUUUCAAAUUUUGUAUGUUAUAACUUUUUCCAAAAUUUGUAUGUUAUUACUUUUCAAAAUCAAAAUAACUUUACUUAAAUUAUAAAAAACCUUAAACCUAAGCGUUAAAUUUUUUACAAUACGUGAUAACAUGUUUAACUUACACACCACUGACGGACCACAAAGGGACUGGAUGCUCGGCCCGAUUUGUUUUCAAAGUAUUAAAAUUUAACACUUAGAUUCAACCAAAAAAAAAUCAUAUUUAGUUAUUAAAAAUUAAAACUAUUUUUACUUGAAAUUUGAUUUAAAAAACCUUGAUAUUUAGUUGUAAAUCAGGAAAAUAGAAAUGAAAGAAACAUAAAAUCUUUUUUUUUAUGUAUCUUUUUAUAUCGAAAUCAAGUUUUCUUAAUUUAUUUAUUUAUAAAAAAGUUAGAAAAGUUGAGAUAUUACCUGUGAUAUUUAAGAAUCCUGAAGGCUACAGCGACUCAGACGGUGGUCGUUUCUGAAUUUUGCUAAACGUAAUACAAAAACAAACCCAUCAGCGCAUUUCAUAAUCGUCAAAAAAUCAAAUUACUUUGAUAAAACUAAAGACAACUAUCACGAACCUGCUAAUAUAAUACCUCUGUUCCUCUCUUCAAUAUAUAUAUAAAUCCUCUUAUAAAUAUUCUCCUAGUCUCUAAUGACUGAAGAAAACAGAGGAUCGAUGGAGAUCACCAUAGAACCUUGACUCUCCACCCUGAAACUAAAACAUAAUCAAGUACAAAUCUUCAUUAUCAAAGACUACUGAAUACACAAAAGCAUAACACUCAGUACAAAACAAAGAGAUGAAUAAUAUAUAUGAUACGUGAAUCACAUGUAUGAUGAUGAACUAAAAAGUACACAAAAUGGCUUGCAUCUGCAUCAAUCCAAAAUCGUAUAUGCAUAUACACACACCUAUGAGAUUCAGUUCUUGUAAGUUGCAGACAGGUAAUAAUAAUUCUAUAUGUGGUCGAGAAGCAAUAUGAGCUCAGUAGUAAUAAAAUAAAACAAUGCCAAUGGAAACUCGCAAAUCAAAUCAGUAUACCUCAGGUUAUGAAUGUUAUACUGAUACUACAUGAUCCUUCUUCUUUUUGAUUGUGGGGAAGUCCUCUUGAUCAAAUCUUCAUGAACUAUAGAGAACAUCAAUG
rnacentral:lncRNA from 1 species